GAAAUGAGGCAGGUACAGAUAUUAAGAAGAAACAUUCAGAAGGACAAAUAAAAAAUUAAUAAUUACCUCCACUCUGAUAAGUUUUUCGAACUCAUUCAAGGACAGCGGCUUUAAAGAUGGAAGCUUUCUCUUGGGAAUGUUAUUGAAACCAAAUGCAAUAGCAACAUCCUUGAAAAGAACGUAAAAUUACACAUUAGCAUAAGUGAGUAAGUUAUAAUGACCUUUUUCCAAGUAUAGUGGGUUGUACCUACUUCCAUAACAUCACAAGGGUGAAGAAUAUCACUCCUAGUUGGAGGUACUGAUACUCUGAUAUUCUGCUCCUCAGUAUUCGACGGACAUCUCUCAGCACGCAGCUGCAUCCGGUUUAACAGACUAGUGACCUGACGUAAAGAGAGAGAGGUCGACAAACUUUCAGUUUAGGAGUUCAAUGUCGUAGCACUGAAUUCUUCUUCAAGGUGUGAUCACUGGAGCACACUAUCUCCAAUGCAAGAAACAAGACCUUUUACGUGAUAAAGUUAGUUAUUUGGCUAAUUUUAGGUUUGCUUUUAGUUCUCCUACUCUAAACCACAAUGCCCAUCUGAGCUCUUUUCCAAAUCCUGGCUCGCCAUUCUCCCACAAACAGUCUUGUAUGAGCCUGACCACUCUGACAGCAUAAACUUGCAUGUUUAACACUAAAUUAUAUUGCAAAGACAUGCACCAAAAAUCUCUGACGAAUCACAGUGACAAGGGAAAUAACAUACCUCAUCUGCCUUCUUCAGUUCAUCAGUUCCAAUUAAGCCAGUGAUGUAAGAUAAAGGAACAUCCAUACUGUAUUCAGAUAAGUCGGGGCAUACAAAAGACUUUCCGUCAUCAUAUAUUACUUCAACUGGUUCCACUUCAUACUUUUUCAGACAAUACGAUGAGAAAGCUGUCACCUAAUAUAAGAAAGGGAAGGCAAUUCAUCAAGCUGUGAGUUACAUUACAAAUCAAUCAAAGGAAGUGAAAACAACAGAAACUUAAAUGGCCAACCAUUGUGUUCAAUACAAUCUUGGCCUUUGUCAGAUCAGUGGCUGUACAUUCUAUGAAGACGUUCUUUGUCUUUAAAGUGAUGGCAGAAUGAGCACCAUUGAUGAUAGGAGGUAAAGACAAGACAGUUCUGCAUAAUAUAGGGAUUUUAUCAAUAUGCUUGUACAGACAAAACCUAAAUAGAUCCUAGAUAUCGCUGAGCAACCUAAAGCAACUGCAUUAAGAAGAGAUGGCAGAGUGACUAGCAAUCAGAAUAUACAGUGCCCACUUUACACUCAUGUGCAAGAUGCCAUCGAAUGAACAGCCUACCAGUUAUGACUAUAAAAGUGAAUGUCAUCAACGGAUACCUUUCAUGAUCAUAUAUAAUUGGGUAGACAGGAGAGCCCUCGAUUAUAUGCAGAAACUUUUUCAGCUUCAAAUCAGACUGCAAACACAUUCCAUAUUAAAAUGAGAAGAAGAGAAAAGAUGUGAUAAUACUGGUGUCCUGGGAAGUGGCAUGCAUACGACAAGAACAAUUGUAAUCAAAAGUAUUAUCCUUUUGUUCGGAAUCACCUUGUAAAACUCUAUCAGUUCAUCAGCUCUGAAAUUUUUUCCCUGAAAUUUAAUAGGUCACCAAAAUAAGCACUGAUGAAGUGACAGUUUGAGUAAGGGGGUAAAUUGAGAACUUCAUGAAUAGUAGCCAAAAGCCCACGAGAGUUAUUUGGGGAAUAGUAUGCCAACAUCAGUACGGGGAAAUUAUGAUAAAAGCAGCAGAAAUAAUUAGUGUAAGACUCGGACAUUUUGCAUGCAGGCUACCUAACUAUAAAUUAGUUAAUUUUACUGAAGCAUUGUUGGUACAAUAAAAAUCAGCAAGAUAAAUUCCUACAAUCUCACCUGCUUCAGUGGUACAAAGUUUAUCUUUUCUGGCGGCAGGGCCUAGGAAAUAUAGAAACACAAUAAAGUUCAAUCAGUGUUGAUAUACAUGAAAUAAUAAACAUGGAACACAAAAUCUGAAACGGCAUCAUGAUGUGCCAGCCAUAAUUGGUUCACAGAUUUGUACUGCCUGAAUAAACAGUCAAUCCAAUGUUGUAAUGUAACAUUGGAUGUGGAAAACCCACACAUCCUAUAGUUCAUUCAACUCGUAUAUGUUGAAUUACAGUAAUUAGUAGAGUAUGAGUAGGCGUAGAAAUCAGAGUAGGUUAGCUGGAUUAUUUGAUUCUUCUAGCCUAAUCUAUGCAGAAUAAUAGUAGAAAGUAGUAGGUAGAGUAAUCCCUGAUUUAUAGGGAUUACAAAUGAGGUGAUUCUGCACCCUAAUGGUGCAGACCCUGUAUAUAUGUAUGUAAACAACAUUUCAGCAAUAACAAUCAUACCAGAAUCAUUAUCAUUCUGGAUUUCCACAUGGUAUCAGAGCGAGGGUAUAUUCAGUAGAUCUAAGCCCCGUUUUCCUUCUGAAAACUCCUAUCUCCUUCUCUAUUUUCUCAUCCUCCAGUCAUGAACAACGCUGACAACAUCCCACAGUCUCCCUCUGUGACUACAGAGGAUCCGUCAUUGAGACGCACGAAUCCAGCAGCCCUAUCAGAAACUGUCCUAGGCUGCAUCACAAAUCACAGGCUGAACGGAGAUAAUUAUCUUCAGUGGUCGUCGUCCGUUCUAAAAUUCAUCUCAGGGAAAGGAAAGAAAGGGUACCUGACUGGGAAGACAGAACAGCCAGCUGAAGAGGAUCCAGAGUUCGCCAACUGGGACAUUGAGGAUAACAUGGUUCAGUCAUGGCUCCUGAACUCAAUGACCACGUCCAUUGGCGAGAAGUUCCUCCUCCACCAAACUGCUCAUGAGAUCUGGGAAGGAGCGAGACACACCUACUCCAAUCAGGCCAACAAAGCAGAGGCCUUCGAGGUGGAGAUGCGUCUCCAUGAUCUCAAGCAGGGGGAGAAAUCCGUCACUCAGUAUUAUGACGAACUGAGUAAAUGCUGGUUACAGCAGGACCUAUACGACAUCCAUCUAUGGAAGUGCACGGAAGAUGCAGACCUCUACAGGCAGAUUCUCCAGACAAAGCGAACCAUCAGGUUCCUUCUUGGUCUAAAUCAGGCCCUAGAUGAGGCCAAAGGAAGGAUUAUGGGCCGUCUUCCCCUUCCUUCAGUUAGAGAGGCGUUUGCUGAAAUCAAGUGGGAAGAGAGCAGGAGAAAGCUCAUGAUUCCUGACUCAAAAAACACCUCAGUAGAAGGAUCUGCCCUUGCUACUCAGUAUACUGGAAAUCAAGGAAGUGCGUACACCAAGUCUGGAAAGCUUAGACCUCAGUGUACGCACUGUAACAAGCUGGGACACACUAAGGAAACAUGCUGGAAGUUACAUGGGAAGCCUACGGACUGGAAACCUAAGGCAGAAAGAGAGGCUUAUGCACAGGCUGCUGCAGCUGACCAAGUUCAACAGUUUGGUCAAAUCACUAGAGAACAGAUGGAGAUUCUCCAGCAGAUGAUGGCACAGUAUACUGCUAAGAAAGCAUCUGCAGGACCCUCUGAAACUCACCACAGCCUGUUUGCUAGCCAAGGUAUUAGAUCCACUGCUUUCCUCACUCAAAGUCAUUUUAAUCAACACUGGAUUUUGGAUACUGGUGCUACUGAACACAUGACGGGUUCUAGACAGCUGCUCCACAAUAUCCAGGCUCACGUAGGGAAAGCAGGAGUCCGUAUCGCUGAUGGAACAAUUGCUCCAGUCGAAGGGAUUGGGACAGCCUACCUGACUCCAAAUCAGGCUGUGUUCCCUGUCCUAUAUGUGCCUAAGCUGAAUUGUAACCUAAUCUCUGUUAGUCAGAUCACACAAGAUCUUAACUGCCGUCUAACAUGUGAUCCAUCACAAUGUAUAUUGCAGGAGGUGGGAUCUCAGAAGAUGAUUGGCAGGUUUGAGCUGUGUGACGGACUGUUCCUUCUGAGUACAACAAGCGGAUCCAGACCAGGGGGAGAGGGUUCCAAAUCAGUACACCUAAGUUCUAGGACAAGCCAGUUAGAUUGCCCUGUCAUGAUGUGGCACUACCGGUUAGGCCACUCUAGUUUCUCUUACCUUAAAAAACUGUUUCCUAAGCUGUUUAUCAAUAAAAAUCCGAAUUCUUUUUAUUGUGAGGUCUGUCAACUUGCAAAACAGACAAGAGUCAUCUACCAUAGCCUACCAUAUAAGCCAACACAUCCUUUUUCCAUCAUUCACAGCGAUAUUUGGGGUCCGUGUUCUGUAAAAACGGUUAGUGGGUCUAAAUGGUUCAUCACCUUUAUUGAUGACCACACCCGUUUAACAUGGACUUAUCUCAUGAAAUCAAAGACUGAAACAAAGGAUAUAUUUCAAAACUUCCUAAAUCAGGUCAAAACCCAGUUUCAAACUCCUAUUCGAGUACUUCACACUGAUAAUGCAAAGGACUAUUUCAAUCAAUCCUUAAGUUCCUUCCUAACAGCUAAUGGCAUUGCUCACAGCAGCUCAUGCCCUUACACCCCUCAGCAGAACGGAGUUGCUGAACGCAAAAACCGUCACUUGCUAGAGGUUGCGAGGGCAUCACUGUUUGCUGCCAAGGCUCCAAAGAACUUAUGGGGUGAUGCUGUCCUCACUGCCACUUAUCUUAUCAAUCGUCUCCCAAAUCGAACCCUACGUUUUAAAACUCCUCGUAGUGUUCUCUUAAAAACCUUUCCUCAUAGUCAUGCUCUAUCGUCUGACCUCCCUCUUAGAAUAUUUGGCUGUACAGUGUUUGUUCACCUAGAUCCAUCACUUCGUACUAAACUUGAUCCUAGAGCAGUCAAAUGUGUCUUUCUUGGAUAUUCGUCCCAUCACAGUGGUUACAAGUGUUACUCUCCACAUAACCACAAAGUCUAUCACUCAAAAAAUGUCACGUUUUUUGAAAAUCUCCCUUAUUACUCCCACUGUCCGCCUCAGGGGGAGAAUCCUAUGGUUGAGUCCUCCAUUGGGAGUAUUACUACUCUCGACUCUCAAAUUGUUCUAGAUUCUCCUGAGGUAGUCCAAUCCACUCCCACAGAAAAACCCAGCCAAACCCCUCCUCUCCUGGUUUAUCAGCGUAGGAAGAAGGCGACAGUCAACUCACAUGCUCAACCUGUCCAGGAAUUUGAUGAGAACCUGACCUCCCAAGAAGAUGAGUCAAAUCAAAUGGAUCAAGGAGUUGAACAUGGUGAUGAAGUCAGGAAUCAUGACCAGACAGAAGAGGAAAUCCAGGACGCUGGUGUAGAAGAGAUUGGGGUGGAUGAUACAGUCUACCUUCCAAUUGCACACAGGAAAGGGACUAGAUCGUGUACAACUCACCCCAUUGAGAGAUGGGUUUCAUAUGGAAACCUAAGCCAGAAAUACAAGGCGUUUGUAGGGACUCUCGAUGAUACACAGAUUCCUCACUCUAUUGAGGAGGCUAUGGGUAUACCCCACUGGAAGGCAGCAGUACUGGAAGAGAUAAAUGCACUCCUAAAGAAUAGGACAUGGGACAUAGUAAGACUGCCCACAGGGAAAUCCACAGUCGACUGCAAGUGGAUAUUCACAGUGAAGUAUACCUCAGAAGGGAAGAUUGAGAGGUAUAAGGCUCGUCUUGUAGCCAGAGGAUUUACACAGUGCUAUGGAGUGGACUACGAGGAGACAUUUGCUCCAGUAGCCAAGUUGAAAACUGUGAGAGUUCUCCUAAGCAUUGCAGUAAAUCUAGACUGGCCCCUAUACCAACUAGAUGUGAAGAAUGCUUUCCUCAACGGAGAUUUAAGUGAGGAGGUGUACAUGAAGGUUCCAGCAGGUGUUACCACUGAACCAGGAAUGGUGUGUAGACUGAGAAAGGCACUGUAUGGCCUCAAGCAGUCACCACGAGCAUGGUUCGAGAGGUUCUCACAAUCAGUGAAAGGGUACGGAUACUAUCAGUGCCAAACAGAUCACACGAUGUUCAUAAAACAGAAUCAGGAAGGGAGGAAGGCCAUCCUUAUUGUAUACGUUGAUGACAUUAUCAUCACAGGGGAUGAUGAAACAGAAAUCAGAAAGCUCAAGGAGAAGCUGGCACUGGAAUUUGAGAUAAAAGACCUAGGAAAUCUGCCAUACAUCUUCGGCUGCUGCAUUUUGUCAUUUCUAGUUCUUCCUGCAUCAUUGUUAGACAUCAUUGAGGCUGUAACCUUUUAAACAUACUUUCUGUAAGGAUUGUCGUAACCAUUAAAUGGUAAUUAUGGUACUUGUGGGGUUAUGUUUUAGGUUGCGGAUACCCCUCAAAAAAGGAAGAAAGGUGUUUUUGGUACCAAAGGUGGCGAUAAGGAGGUAUGUAACAAUUCAUGAUGACAACAUUAUAGGAUGCUUCAUUUUCUUGUAUCAUAUUGAGCCAUGUUGAAUUACAGUAAUUAGUAGAGUAUGAGUAGGCGUAGAAAUCAGAGUAGGUUAGCUGGAUUAUUUGAUUCUUCUAGCCUAAUCUAUGCAGAAUAAUAGUAGAAAGUAGUAGGUAGAGUAAUCCCUGAUUUAUAGGGAUUACAAAUGAGGUGAUUCUGCACCCUAAUGGUGCAGACCCUGUAUAUAUGUAUGUAAACAACAUUUCAGCAAUAACAAUCAUACCAGAAUCAUUAUCAUUCUGGAUUUCCACAGUAUAUUAACCACAGAACUACAUUUCUAUUCAGAAAACAAACAUUAUGAAACAAACCUCGUAACUGAAUGGGGCUUGAAGCGUGUCCAGGUCAUGAGUACCAAUUGCAACAAGAGUUCUCCGCCUAGAUGAGGUUUGCUCAACCAUUAAACAAAAAGACAGCACUAGAAGGAAAAUCACACAAUGUAGUCACAAUAAUACCUGCAAAUGUUUUGAUGAAGCUUGUCUUGGAGAUCAAUGAAGCUAUUAUAACUGGCUUCGUCAAAAGUGAUGUUUCUCAGAACAGCACAAACAACAAAGGGCCGAACUGUUGAUGUCUACAUCAGGGAUAGAAACACACAGUAAAGACACAUCAUAACUGAGAUGAAAAAUCCUAUCAUUGCACUGUAUUAAAAAACCAGAUAAACUACCUCUUUCUUCACAUGCAUCCUCAACAUUGACUCCUUGCUCACGUUGGAAAGUGUAUAGACAGGUGUCUCUUCCUUCUUAAUAAACACCCGCAGGGCUUGAGCAAUACCCUCGAGACAAAGUAAAUCAUAUCUAGUAUCAUUCAAAAUAAAAAUGGGUAUCAAUACUCAACAUUGUUGCUUCAACACGCCACUUGUAAAUUGCUAAGCCCAAAAAGAAACUCCGAUAAGGUGGGAAAUGCAAAAUUAAAGUUCACUUCGAAUCAGAAACAUUAUGGUCUACUGGACUCAAUUUCCGUUUCGACCAAUUACCAUGGUGUCAAAACAAGAAGGCAUACAAAGACAGUAAACUACAGCACUUAAUUGAUUGAAGUUUGAACUCAACGUCUAAAUCCAAAAACAUUUAUUCAGAAUAGGAUAACAAAUGAUCCACCAAAGCCCAAAACUCCAAGCAUCAAACGGCACCAGUAUGGUAUCAUAAUCGAAACCAAUAAAGCAAGCUUUACAGCAGACACUCCAGGAACAAGUUCAAUUCAGAUAAAAACGUAUUUAAGCUCACCCAGCUACUACCAUUCUGAGAAACAUAUGUGCAUCUAGGCAAACCAUCUACCACCGGAAGGUAGAAGAACGAGUUACCUGUUAGCAGCGACCUCAAUUUUGUAGAUAACUUCCUCAUCGUCAUCAGCAUCUUCUUCCAAGUGCUUCUCUUUCCUCAUGAUGGCCUUCUCAGUAGUCUGAUGCAAGUGAUUUCAAUUUCCAAGUAACUAAAUCAAUUAUCAUAUAGAUGAAGAAGAACAGCCAAAAAUAACGAGCAGCUGGAGUUAUGAAUACUGACCACGUCAUCAAGCUCGAUUCCGAAAUCGAAGCAGAGCUCCUCGAAUUGCUGUUGAGCUACAAUUUCAAGCAAAAAAAAAGGAAGUCGUUCUUAGUGCAUCGUUCUGAUCGUGUACAUCGAUCAGUACAGUUCAGGAAAUGGAGAAAAAAAUAGGAGGUACUGUAAGUUUCUCCAAUGGCGGCGAAGAGCCGAUCCCUUCCCACGCUCACCGUCGGCAUCGCUCUGUUCUGACGACCCUACCUCGGAGGACACAGCUGAAGUCGAGCAAGAGAGAGUUGGUGGAAGCGAUGGAUUUGGUGGUGGUGAGGAAUUAGCCGCCGCCGCCGACGACUGCAAAUGAAGAGAUGUUAGGGUGGAGUCGGGUCCAGAGUACUUUGUAUAUAUUGAUGGGCUUGGGCCCAUUGUUUGGUUUCUGGGCUCCAUUGUUAAGUAGUUCGUGAAUCGUGGCCUCUAAGCAACGGGUUCCUGAUUAAUCCCUUUCGGUUUCGGUUUUUAAGGAGUAGAAUCAGUCAUAGUGGUUAACAAUUGAUAAAUUCGGUCGGUUGGUUAGUUAAAGAAACAAACAUUUUAACCAUUAACCAUUAGACUUGAUCUUAGCUCGAUCAUCAACAGACCGAAGUUAGUUGGUCGACUGGAACAAAAUAUGAAGAGAAUUGGUUUAAAAAUUAUCGAGGUAUAAUAAAUUUCAAAUUCCUAACCAACAUAGUGGGUUUCAACUUGAUCAUUGACCGAACAAAGUUGAUCUGUUAGUAGAGAAAUACAACAUUUUUUCGGAUAGUGUAACUACAUAUCGAGAAAGGAGGUCACGAGCUCGAAUCCUCGCAAAAAUUUAACCAUAGAAAAAGGUUAAAAAACAAUCGAAAAAUAAUUACCACUACACCCAGCCCUAAGACAAAUCUCAAAUUCCUAUAUUGCGCUCUAGUAUUUUUGCCAAACCAAAGAAAUCAGCACUAAAAAGGACAUCUCUAGUAUAUACAAACCCUUACCAAAAAACAGGACAUGCUCUGUCGUCUGUAACAAGUAACCCCUGUAGUAAGGCUACUUUCGUCAUUUCACUAGUUUUUGAAAAGUUAGGGGUGUUAAAUACUUACUCACUCGAACCGUUUCUUUUUACUGCCAUUCUCUACAACCUCCACACCUCCAAUUACCUUCACAAGGCGGGAGAUCAACCUGAAAAGCACAGACAUUGUGCAUGAUCAACCUGCAUAUUUCGCAACACAGCUCCGGGGGAGGAUCCAACUUCGAGCAGUACUGGCACCGAGCCGGGUCGAUAAAAAUUUCACCACCCGGGGUCUGGACAGGUUCGUACUCGUUCCAUCCGGUGAGUGCUAUAUCUGGGAAAGCUUCUGCUUCUGUUGCUGGACCGGGCUGUUCGCCUGGAAAAGCCGGGUUAGCCUCGUCCUCCUCGAGAAGCUCGGUGAACGAGAAAUACGUCUGGGGCUCGAACUCCAUGUCCUCGAAGUUGAACCCUUCAUCAUUUCCUAUCAGCAUCUCGCCAUCGGCAGCACCAUUGCCGAAACCGUCCCAGUCUAUACUAGUGACGUCAUACUCCUGGUCGGUAGGAGCUGUCAUGAAGCUGUUCGUUUCGGGCAGAAGAGAAGACGACUCGAGCGGCUGAUGAUGAAAAUCGGUUUCCCCUUCCUGAUUCUUCGUUUGCCUUCUUACAGGCAGUUUCCUAGGCCACUGUCCAUUAGAAUCCUCCACUGCGACGUGUUCUUGCUUCGGUGUAAUUUGCUCGACGUUCAACACGUUUGAAAGAAGCGGAUCGUCAUUUGGAACCACAGGAGGCUGGACGGGGAGGAACGUUGGGGUGGCUGGAUCAUAAUCCAUAGUUUGGCUUUCUUGCUUCACAAGUUUCUUUCGUGACAGCUUUUUCUCCGAUUUUUUACUACUAGUCACAGGAUCCUCCUCCCUGUAAGGGCACCGGUGUCUUCUUAUUCGCCGACAUCUACAGCACUUGAAUCCAAUAAUGUCGGCAACUCUCGAUUCAUCCAGUUCAACCGCUUCGGCAUGCAACCAUUCUGUAACAAAGACAAAAAAACCCCAAGAUUAUAAAGUAUGCUCAAGAAUUUCGAGACGAAAAAUUGCAGUCAAAGGAACAGAAAGGAAGAAAGCCUUACUGGCGCAGGAUUCGCAGAAAAUGUACAUCAGAUUAGGAUCAUAAUCUUUCUUGCACUGCUCACAAAUAGGCUUUAUCCUGUUCCCAUCUAGAGAGCCUUUUACGAUAAUGUUCUUGCGUCGAAAAUCGACACCUGGAUCUUCCGCGUUCUUCUUCCAUAUAAUACCCCAACUGGUUAUUUUACUAUGCUUCAGUGCCGAAGCUGAAGCCGGAGCUGCUGCCAAAGCUGGAGCUGAAGCUGGAGAAGGAGCAGGUUGUUCAAUCUUGACAGAUACCAAUGGCUGAUUAUUCUGCUGCACCUUUAUUUUAGCUCUACUAUCUUGGUUCAUCUGAGAAAACGUGUUAUUUGGUUUACCAGCCACCAAUAACAGGUUUUGGAUAUUCGGUUCCGUAGCCUGGCUGAGCAUAGAUGUUUUAUGCAACUCCGGCACUCUUGAGGGGAGUGGAGUGGUUGGAGACUUAUUGCUGUAUUGCAUAUAAGCAGCUUUGGGGUUACGACACCGGUUGCAGAUGAGCAAGAGCACAACUACAUUAUUUCGGUAAGUUGUUGACCGUACGGUACAUUCCUUGUGACAGUAACCUGCACAAAGCAAAGCUGAAAAGUGAAACUGUUGCACAAACGAUACAGAAACAGGAGAAGCAUCUAGGAAAUAAGGUUGAUAGCUCGAAAAGGUCAGUCAUAGUCGGAUGACCCAUCAAUUUCUCAUUUUUUUGACGCGGGCAUGCACACAACAAACAUAGAGUCUACGGUGCUAUAACGAAAAAACUCCAAAAUAUCAUGGCAACCAGACUAUUGUUUACAGAAACCUAGGUCGUUUACAAUGAUAAAAAAAGUUUGGGAACAGCUCUCUCGUGUCGCAAUGAGUUGCUAGAUUAUAUGCUGUAAAUUGAAAACACAUUUCAACGGAAAUAUGAAACAAGCAAGGUUUGAGAAAAGCAUACCGUGGCAAGCACCGCAUUCAACAGUUUCCCUGCAGAUCAAACAAGAUGAAAGUAAUGAGCUGACAGUACAAGACGUUCUCCUCUGAAGUAAUCAGAUGAAGACACAUACAGAGGUGCAAAAUUUACCUUAUACGAACUUCACGCUGACAGGAAGCACAUGAACACUUUUCUAGGCCAUCUCUCCGACACACGAGAUAUGAGAAUAUCUCUCUACGAGAAGCUUUCAGUUGUUUUCUUUGCAACUCAGACGGUGUGUUGUUUGACUUAUUAGCUUGAGGUACGACAACCUCUUUCUUUGCUUCAUACUCUUUAAUCAAAUAUAAUGGUACGUUGGCUUCAGAAAACCAGUACUUAUUGUAACCACCUUCCUUUUCUUCUACACGAAUCACAUUCUUCAUGAUCCGGGAAGGAAGAUGCUUCUGUUUCCCAAAAGCAACUGCAUAGAUGAUGUUUUUUUCUUCGGCUUCCUUGUCAGAUAUAGUUGCAUUCCUGAAAACAGAUGCUUCAGUCUCUGAAGCUUUACUAUCCUGAGGAUUCAUUUCUUGCCGGACAAGGUCACUCCAUCUGACAUGCACAUCCAGAUACCUUACCUAUAGUUAUGCAACGAAAAUCACAUCAAAGCCAGAGUUGUUGUCAGCCUUGAACCACCUCAAAAACAAAAGUUCUAAAAACGAGAAAAAUGGUACCUGAAGUGCCAACUGAGAUAAGUUCUUACAGUCCUCAACAGCAGCUCUCCAAGCCAGUUGCCUGGUCUUUCUGGGGAUCUCAGAAUCAUCAGUGUAACAGAGACCUGAAAUUUUUCUUGAGCCGCCUAAGCAAAGGGGAAAUAUUGUUUAGGUUUCUCUACAUUCUGGAAAUUCGAUCAUCAAGUACAUGAACAGCAAGAUUAAAAGGACAACACAUUGGUAGUUGAUAUAGAGAAUUACUUUGCCGGGCCACCUUUCUCCUCAUCGACUUGGGCAAAACUGCAUUGUGAAAGACAUGCUUCAAUACCGUCCCGCCCCGCCACCAGACAAAACUCCUACCAUCAGAACUAUCAGCAUUGGUGUCUAACGACACACAUGAUUUCUUAUGCCGUUUUCCAGUUGGUCCGCAUCUUCGGGCACCGCGAGUUUCAGUAGCUGCACUUUCAGUUAUAAAAGAUCCAGUCACCCAAUUAUCCACAGCCUUAAACCAGUCCCCUGAAAGAGCAAUACGGCGGAUAUUUUCUUCAAGCUGCAAGUAAGUCCACGAGCCACAAUCACGAAAGGUUUUAUCACUUAGUUACCAAGAAAUAGAUACACCCAUCUAGAUGAUAAUACAUAGAAGCAAAGUAGUUAUCUGUUGGUGUGUUUUAGUAAUUCAGAACAGUGAGAAAAUAUGGUUACCUCUAGCAGCAGACCUUUUAAUGUACUGAAACCCGAAGCAUCUUCAACUCGCUUGACCCAUUGCUUUUUGUAACUUGCACUGAGGAAGGGGCCAAUUGUGAGCCCAGAUAACAUUACUCCAACGUACAUGAUGUAAGUUGAGAUACUAGGAAGACUUCCAUCACCAGUAAGUGUCGGGCGCAAGCUACCAAUAAUUUUUAGAGUGCCUUUAGUUGCAAUCAAUCCAGCUGAGUUUAACAUGCAUCCCCUCUUGCUGCUAGUGAUAACCUUACACGAUUGACACCAACCACACCUCUCUCUUGGCACCUCAAUAAGUUUCCUUUCAGAAGAUGGCCAGAAGAAACGUGAGGCUACUUUGGAAAAUGCUUUCGUCUGAAUCAUAAUAUCAUAACUAGCUUUCUUAGCGUUAUUUGACCUAUGUGCACCUGGACCCCGCGUGUCCUCGGAAGAAAGAACAGCCAAAGCAGCAGCAGCAGAUGCUGAAAAUUCGCCAUGUGCAUAGUGAUUUAUGUAGGCUUUAGAUUUAAACGAAGAUCCCAAAUAUACAGGAUUCUCACCCAAAUAUCUAGACACCUUCACCGAGCCUGCAAGACUGGCAUCUUUUCUUUGGGAGUACAUAAUGGCAGGUAAAGCAGUGCCACUCACUAGACCAACAUGGCUACUGUGACUAUUUGCCGAAUUGCACGUAGUACUUUGAUGUGUCAAAACUGAUGGAUCAGCUUGUGUACCUGAAAUGGUACCGUUCACUUUAUUCUGCUCGGAUGGCUUAGUGUUCGCCCGAUCCAAGUCCGCAGUUUUUGUAGUAUCGAUACUGCUCAAGGUGCCAUGCAUUUCAGAUGGAGUAGUUGUCUGACCCAAGGUCUCAACACAUGAGACCGAGAUAUUCUCUGAAAUCUUCCCAUUUAAACUAAGUGAAUUAUCUGCCUUAGUAACAUCAGGAACUCUCUGAGUUAUCUCCCAUGCAGGAGUUGACACUGUUGAAAUAUUUACAUUUUCCUUCACCAAUGCAGGUUUUAAAUCCUUCUCCAUCAUCUCAGCAGCAUAUAAGGGGAUUCCAGGAAUAUCCCAGUAUUGCGCAAUCAACUUGCAUAUCUCUGAGUAUAUUGGUCUGUGUUGCUCAGAUGCACAAAGAGAUUGCAGGACAUUUGGGAUAUCUUUCCGACCAUAAUAUCUGAGACACUGAUGUUUGUCAGCAAAAGCCCUAAGCCUGCAAAACAAUUCGAAAUAAUUUUAAUAUGCGGGAGGACAUCCUAGGAAUUAAACAAAAGGAGAGAUAACAAUACGAAAGGAUACAUUAUAAUAUCAAACUGAAGGCACUUUGAACUGGAAUUCAUUAAUACUGCGAUGUAUUCAGUUCAGUACACUAACUUCAAAUAGACAAAGAAAAUGCCAAAACAUACACCAAUAAGUGAUCGCAGGUACCCAUGAAGACAUGCUGGUAUGCAUCAAUACCAAAAACUUCUGCUCCUUUAAGCGACGUUCCCAUUGUGAUAUAAGAUCCCAUUCGAUUUAUGAUACACUCUGGACAGUACCAUGGACCAUCUGGUAUAUACAUUUUAGCAACACCUAUACAUCUUGAAUGGUAUGCUGCUGGACAACCAUCACAGCAAAGCAAGGUUCCAUCCAUGCCACACAAUCUACAGUCAUCGCUAUUCUCAUCAGAGUUAUCAACAGGAACAAUUGGAUCGCCCGAACAGUUUGGACCUUCAGAUGACUUAGUCCCACGGUUUUCUGCAGUGAUUUCUACGACCCCCCUGUCUUUACUAGCAGAAGUCUUAGAAAAUCUGGGGUGCAACUUUCUAGGUCCGCUUUCAACAAACCCAUUUACAGCUGAAUCAGGAUCUAUCCCAAAUUCUGAUUCUUCACGAAUAUCAACUUCUGAUCUCAUCUCUGCAGAGUCCAAUACAUCAUCACACAGGAUUUGUAGUAUCAUCAAUUUCCUACCCGCUGUUAACAAAUAAUACUCCCUUUGCAAAAAAUCAUCAUGGAAACCUUUCCAUUCAGGUCCCCUCGCAUACCCCAUAACAGUAAAAUAGUUUACCAAGAAAACUGGCCACGUCAAUAAAUCAAGCAAAUUCCAGUCUAUGCUCCUGCGAAUAAAAAUCCAAUCAUAUUGUUAGAAUUAACUAUCAAACUCGUAAGUGCCUAGAAACUGAGUAAUGCAAAAUAUUUAUAUAUAUAUAUAUAUAUAUAACAAAGAUCCCUUCGAGAACAAAGACCAAAACAAAUCAUUCAUUAAUGAUAUUAGUCCAUUUCACCUCAAGCACUUUGAUGCAAGCUCCACGCCAUCAGCAGAGAGUGUAUCGAGACGACGUCUUAUCGCACGCAACAAAACAACAUGGAUCGAAUCCAAUAAUGUGUUCUGCACACGGCAGUUAAUUGCCCCAACUAGUUCAUCCAGCGAAAACGGACUCAAAAAUAGCUGUACAUUGAACGACCUCAAGAAUGCAUAGACCGACAACAGAUGUGAGACAUACUCCUCCUGCACACCUACAUUUCCCGAAGAAGGUGGAAACUGUGGAGGAGGGAUAACAGGGGUCUCUUCCUCAACACCCAAGUCCCUACCCUGUGCAUAAUCACAUGAAUCACUUGACGAAUCCCCAUCUUCUCCCUCUCCACCAUCAUUCCCAUCUCUCAAUACACCACUCACCUCCCCCGGUGCCUCAUCAACAACAGCCACUUCAUCCUUCACCUUCUCCAUUCUCUGCUUAUCCAAUUCCUUGCGAGCCUCGUUCUUCUUAACCAGCAACUCAUCCAACCUCCGCAUCCUCCCAACCAACCCAUCAUCAACCUCAUUGUCCCCUAAAAUGAUACUACGAAGUUCACCACUAUCCAAAUCUUCACAAUCCCCAUCUUCAUACUCAACUCUAUACAACCCAGUAUCAUACUGCACAAUCUUCCCCAAGAAAACCCCAUUUCCCUCAAACUCUUUCAUCACAUACCUCCCCACAAGUGGUUUCGACCAUAUCUCUAAAACCCUAUUCUUCAAAGAACUGCCAACAUUCUUAUCACUACUCUCAUUCUUCACCUCCUCAGCUCGCCUUCGCUUCUUCGGCCUUCCUCUACCUCUCUUCUUCACAUCAGCAGACUCCAUUCUCCAACCAACACAAAAUCGCGCAGAAACUACUGAACUGCCGAAGAUCUGACUAAUCUAUCAUGCAGGAUCCCUAAGCAAACCAUACACGAACAAACGUAACAGUGAAUCGAUCAAUCAAUCCAUGAUAAAAGCGAGAGAUAUCGCGCGUCAAUCGAACUCAAUUGCGUUUGGAGAUUCGAUACUGCGGGCCUUGUCGUGACCAGCAGGAGGCAGUGGAUUUACGUACUAGAGGUUACGCGACCGCCAUUGAUGAGUAGAGAUUUGGAGGUUUUCAAUGCUUUCUGAGAGUGUGUCGAUUGAUGGAUAGAGAGAGAUGAGAGCGGAAGAGAGGAGCCCAAAUAGAGAGAGAAAAAGCAAAAAGAAAGAAACGAAGUAAUAAAGAGAACCGGGCGAGUUACGUUUUCCGGUUCGACUCGUAACUCGUUGAUCCGACUCAGUGAGUCCGUUACUUGGGAAUUAUUUUUUUUUCCAAAAAUAUAUUUAUUCGGUGGGUUAUUAAUUAUUAUUUAUCUGAAGCUAAGAGGAAUGGUAUUUUUUUACAUGAAAGAUUUGCGAUUUAAGGGGAAAGGAACUUACAAUACAUGUGAUAAAAUUCCAUUACAAAUCCCAUUACAAGACAAUCUGAUUUAACCAUCUUGCGAAGAAGUGAAUUUGCAGCUACUCCAUGGUGACUAAGAGCGCCUUUGCUUCAGCAACCAAUGCGGAUGAACACGGAAACUUGCCAGCCCUAUCGUCAGUCACAUGUCCAUGGGAGUUAAUAACGACAACCCUAUAUCUCACCGCAAGAGAGCCCUGGACGAAUGAUCCAUCACAGUAGAUGCUCUGUUGACACCAUUCACGGGGCAGGGGACUCGAUAUUGAUGAUGCUUCCGUUUCUCUUAAUAAGCUUCCAAUCCUCUAACAAUUUUAUGGUAUUGUGUUGGAUUGCAUCUCAGUUUGGUGUUGUAUUGCGGAAGAUCCUCUCGUUGCGAGAUUUUCAUACAUUCCAUAGUGAGGCAAUGCACUUGAGAACGUCGGAAUUUUGGUAGCUUUCCUUCGUAUUGAACAUCCAUUGAUUAGGUUAUUGUCAUUGCUUGGUUUAUGGAUAUUAGGGAAGGAUUCCCUCCAAAUUUCAGCAGCCAUCUUACAAUUAAAGAGGCAGCAGAACACGUCCUCUUGACAGGUAUGACAAAGGGAACAUGUAGGGGGAUGAGGUGCAUUUCCUUGUCCAUAAGUUUUUUUUUGUUGCUAGUGCAAUAUGGGAAGCUCUCCAAAUAAACAAGUCAUACUUGGGUGGUAUUGGAAUUCUCUACAUCCAUUUCCACAUCUCGCUGUCCUGAUUUCCAAUUGUAUGGGACGUAGUCCGGGGUCGAUGUGCGAAGGGUGUGGUAAGCCAAUUUUACUAAGAAAUUCUCUUUCUUGUCGAAGUGCCAAAUCCACUUGUCAUUUCCUGAUAUGGAGCCUAUCUCCUCAAUUUUGAUGUCAGAGCAAGUAGAAGCCAUUACUUUUGGGUUCCAGUUUAUGUGAUCCUCUGUGAACCAGUUGCUAGUGCGGAUGUCGAUGAGUGUCUCGUUCGCAAUUUUAAAACUGGGAAUGGAUGGUAUCCAAGGGUCGCUGCUGAUCCUAAUGGAUUCGCCAUUGACUAGGUUUUUCCUAACCCCUUUUCACAAAAUCUUCCUGGAGUCGCAAAGGCUAGCUCAAAUUCAUGAUGUUGUACAUCCCUUUGAGGCUCUUAAAAGGUCAGCUUUUAAAAAUAUAGGGACUCAAGGAGUUGAGCCCACAGGCAAUCUUUCUCCUGCAUGAGUCUCCAUCCUUGUUUUGCCAGGAGAGCGAGAUUAAACAUGCUAAAAUUCCGAAAUCAUAUACCCCUUCGCUUUUGGGUUUGGUAAGAAGAGACCCUGCUCUUCAAUGGAUGAUUUUUUUGGGUCAUUGAUCCACUUUAAAAGAAGGCUCUGAGUUUUGCGUUCAUUUUGUUGGUGAUUUCUUUUAGGAGGAGGAAGCAAGACAUAAUGUAUGUCGGAAUGCUUUGGUAGACCGCUUUUAGGAGAGUUUCUCUUCCACCCGGAGAUAGACAUAAGUUUUUCCAAGAUUGGCCAAGGUUUCCAUUUUGGUGACUAGGUAGCUAAACGCUUUUAUUUUUUAUAGGCCCCGUUCGGAGGGAACUCCCAAAUAUUUUUCAAAAGUUGGGUUAUCUUGGAUGCCUAAAUGGUCUCUAAUAAUCUUUUGGAGGGCCUUUGGUGCGUGUCUACUGAAAAUGAUCGAAGAUUUAUGAUUGUUUAUAACUUGCCUUGUAAUUCUUGCAUAAGUGUCCAUUGUUUGCUUUAUAUUCAGCGCUUCCGUUACGGAUGUAUCCCCAAAAAUAAUUGUAUCAUCGGCAAAUAGGGCGUGUGUGAGGGAAGGACAUCGUCGAUUGAGCUUCAACCCUUUAAGUCUACCUUAUGUCACCCCGUUUUCAAUGAGGAAGGAUAGAGAAUCUAUGAGGAUGAUGAAAAGGAAGGGCGAUAAAGGGUAACGUUGACGUAUCCCUCGCAAGGGGAUGAAAGUGUCUAUUGGGUUUCUGUUAAUCAUCACCACGAAGCUGACCAUUUCGAUACAUUCCUUGAUCCAAUUACACCAUAUCUCAUUGAAGCCCAUUUUUUGGAGGAUCUUCAUCAGGUCACUCCAAUCUACCAUAUUAUACCCCUUUUACAUAUCGAGUUUAAGCAUCAUGUCCCAUUGGAAUUUACCUGCUCUAGUCUUGAAAUGGUGGAUGACUUCGUGCACAAUCAUGAUAUUGUCUUGGAUUACUCUCCCUUGAGUAAAGGCCGCUUGCAUUUCCGAAACAAUGUCCGGUAUCCAUUUCUUAAGACGGGAUGUGAUAAGUUUUUGUAUAAUUUUGUAGUGGAAAUUGCAGCAGCUAAUUGGGCAAAAUUGGGAUAUCUCCUCCGAAUUCUUGAUUUUAGGAAUGAUUAUAAAGUUUGUAUUGUUCCAACCUGCAGACAUAGUAGAUGUUAGGAAAAAAAAUUAUUUCAUGAAAUAUUUGAGGCCCAAUCACCUCCCAAUAUUUUCGGUAGAAUUUCACGGAGAAACCAUCGAGACCGGGAGUUUUGUUGGGAUCCAUGCUAAAGACCGCCGCUUUGAUCUCUUCGUCACUAACUGGCCGGGUUAGAUCAUCAUUCAUUUCUUCCGUAAUCACACGAGGUAAGUCUGUUAACAGUUCGGCCGGGUUUGGAAUAUCUCUAGCUGUGAACAAAUCUUAGAAAUACCCUUUGAUGUGAAUCUUCAACUGAUUGUCGUCCUCUAUCCACGUUUCAUCACCCAUUUUUAGCUUGUAGAUGAAGUUUCUUUGUUGUUUUUUAGCCAUAGUGAUAUGAAAAUAUCUUGUAUUCCUGUCCCCCUCGAAGAGCCAAUGUACACAUGCGCUUUGAUACCAAAAGAGCUCUUCGUUUCUCCAGGCUUUUUAUUGUUGGCGUUUCAACUAGCUUUCUUCUUCAGCAACAUCAACCAUUUUACUAAAAGUACUGAGAUAGUCAAAUUUUCUUUUAGCUUUAUAAUUUCAUUGUUUGCAUUGUGAACCUCUUUCCUGCUCCACUUUUGAGUUCAUUUUGGAGUUGCACUAGUUUAUUUGAGCUAAGAUUACCUUGGUUCCAUGAUUUUGUGACAAUCUUAUUACAUUUGGUAAAAUCAAACUAACGGCUAUCAAAUCUAAAGGGGGUGCUAGAGAUUGACUUUUUUCAAAAAGGUGGAGGCACAAUGGGGAAUAUCUUGACCCGAUGAAGGCCUCGUGGAAAAAAUUUUCUUUAUAAAAGGUGUUCUACCAAGAGUGGGUGCAAAGAGCUCGGUCAAGUUCGUUUAUAUUAUCGUCCCCAAUCUGGAAGUUUGUCCAUGUGUACCUUUGAUCGUGGAAACCAAGGUCAAAGAGACAGUUGUCGAUAUGAAUUUUUUAAAGGGUUCUGUAUUUUCAUCCCUAAGCGGUAGUCCACCUAAUUUCUCCUAUGAUGCCACCAUAGCGUUAAAAUCUCCCAUAAUUAACCAGGCAUCAUCGGGGUUGUUACGGAAGCUCUCUAGUGUUUCCCAAAAUUGGACGCUCUCAUAGGCUUGAUUUGGGGCGUGGACCAACGACAAGAAGAAACUCAGAUUUAGUAUGUGAUGGUUACCUGAUCCAAUAACAUUGAGAUUAAGCUUACCUACCCACCACAAAGCAAGUCCUCCACUAGUCCCUAUUGGAUUAACAUACCAAAAGUUGGGGAAAUGCGCUUUCCUUCUAUGUGUUUCUAAAACACUUCGGGGAUUGCUAGUUUCUGAAAGAAAAGUGAUAGAGGGGUUAAACCUCUUAAUGAGGUCAUUAAAGUUAUCACUAGUAAGGGUUGGCCCAAUACCCUUACAAUUUCAAGCGAGGAUCAUCAUGACGCGUUUGGUGGUUUAUAGGUUUCCACCACCCCUUCAUUGUUAAUGUUACAGAUUCCUCCAUCUUGAUUUGGAUCAAUGUCAUAGUAGUUGAACCACCCUGCCUGGUUGGGAGACUCCAUGGGGAUAUACGAUGAGACGUAGCCUUAUGAGUGAUAGUCUGACUUUUCCUCAAUUGCCUCAUUUUCAGUUUCCAUUCUCAUAUUUUCCCGCACUUACUCUUGGAUGACUAUCCCCUGAUUCUUCUUUCUUUUCUAUUAUUGAUUGUGUGGGCUUUUAACAAGAGGCCCAGCCCAUGAGCUCAUAUUGCAGAAAACUAAACCUUAGUUUGUCAUACCUGUUUUUUGUUUGACAUUUCUCCCUAAAUCCAUUGUUGAAUUAAACUCCUCAAAGAGAUUUCUUGCAAAUCUCAACUCCCAAUACCUUUCUGAUCUGCUAAACAACGUCCUAACUUUGAAAANNNNNNNNNNNNNNNNNNNNNNNNNNNNNNNNNNNNNNNNNNNNNNNNNNNNNNNNNNNNNNNNNNNNNNNNNNNNNNNNNNNNNNNNNNNNNNNNNNNNNNNNNNNNNNNNNNNNNNNNNNNNNNNNNNNNNNNNNNNNNNNNNNNNNNNNNNNNNNNNNNNNNNNNNNNNNNNNNNNNNNNNNNNNNNNNNNNNNNNNNNNNNNNNNNNNNNNNNNNNNNNNNNNNNNNNNNNNNNNNNNNNNNNNNNNNNNNNNNNNNNNNNNNNNNNNNNNNNNNNNNNNNNNNNNNNNNNNNNNNNNNNNNNNNNNNNNNNNNNNNNNNNNNNNNNNNNNNNNNNNNNNNNNNNNNNNNNNNNNNNNNNNNNNNNNNNNNNNNNNNNNNNNNNNNNNNNNNNNNNNNNNNNNNNNNNNNNNNNNNNNNNNNNNNNNNNNNNNNNNNNNNNNNNNNNNNNNNNNNNNNNNNNNNNNNNNNNNNNNNNNNNNNNNNNNNNNNNNNNNNNNNNNNNNNNNNNNNNNNNNNNNNNNNNNNNNNNNNNNNNNNNNNNNNNNNNNNNNNNNNNNNNNNNNNNNNNNNNNNNNNNNNNNNNNNNNNNNNNNNNNNNNNNNNNNNNNNNNNNNNNNNNNNNNNNNNNNNNNNNNNNNNNNNNNNNNNNNNNNNNNNNNNNNNNNNNNNNNNNNNNNNNNNNNNNNNNNNNNNNNNNNNNNNNNNNNNNNNNNNNNNNNNNNNNNNNNNNNNNNNNNNNNNNNNNNNNNNNNNNNNNNNNNNNNNNNNNNNNNNNNNNNNNNNNNNNNNNNNNNNNNNNNNNNNNNNNNNNNNNNNNNNNNNNNNNNNNNNNNNNNNNNNNNNNNNNNNNNNNNNNNNNNNNNNNNNNNNNNNNNNNNNNNNNNNNNNNNNNNNNNNNNNNNNNNNNNNNNNNNNNNNNNNNNNNNNNNNNNNNNNNNNNNNNNNNNNNNNNNNNNNNNNNNNNNNNNNNNNNNNNNNNNNNNNNNNNNNNNNNNNNNNNNNNNNNNNNNNNNNNNNNNNNNNNNNNNNNNNNNNNNNNNNNNNNNNNNNNNNNNNNNNNNNNNNNNNNNNNNNNNNNNNNNNNNNNNNNNNNNNNNNNNNNNNNNNNNNNNNNNNNNNNNNNNNNNNNNNNNNNNNNNNNNNNNNNNNNNNNNNNNNNNNNNNNNNNNNNNNNNNNNNNNNNNNNNNNNNNNNNNNNNNNNNNNNNNNNNNNNNNNNNNNNNNNNNNNNNNNNNNNNNNNNNNNNNNNNNNNNNNNNNNNNNNNNNNNNNNNNNNNNNNNNNNNNNNNNNNNNNNNNNNNNNNNNNNNNNNNNNNNNNNNNNNNNNNNNNNNNNNNNNNNNNNNNNNNNNNNNNNNNNNNNNNNNNNNNNNNNNNNNNNNNNNNNNNNNNNNNNNNNNNNNNNNNNNNNNNNNNNNNNNNNNNNNNNNNNNNNNNNNNNNNNNNNNNNNNNNNNNNNNNNNNNNNNNNNNNNNNNNNNNNNNNNNNNNNNNNNNNNNNNNNNNNNNNNNNNNNNNNNNNNNNNNNNNNNNNNNNNNNNNNNNNNNNNNNNNNNNNNNNNNNNNNNNNNNNNNNNNNNNNNNNNNNNNNNNNNNNNNNNNNNNNNNNNNNNNNNNNNNNNNNNNNNNNNNNNNNNNNNNNNNNNNNNNNNNNNNNNNNNNNNNNNNNNNNNNNNNNNNNNNNNNNNNNNNNNNNNNNNNNNNNNNNNNNNNNNNNNNNNNNNNNNNNNNNNNNNNNNNNNNNNNNNNNNNNNNNNNNNNNNNNNNNNNNNNNNNNNNNNNNNNNNNNNNAUUAGAAUCAAUUAAUUAAAUUAAUCACAUAACUAUUGCAUAUACAACUACUGUACAAAAAUACUAAUGAUACUGUAAUUAUUCAUAAUUUGUAUUUAUAAUAAUUAAAUAAAAUUAUAAUCAAUUAAUUAAACUAAUCACAUAAUUACUAUGAUAUUAAAAAAUAUAUAGCCCAGUCGUCCAAAUCGGACUGCUGGUUUGUGAACCGGCCGCCCAAACUGGACUGCUUGUUUGACAACAGGCAGCCCACAUCGGAUUGUUAGUUUGGACUGCUUGUUUGACAACAGGCCGCCCAAAUCGGAUUGUUGGUUUGAGAACCGACCGUCCAAAUCGGACUGCAGGUUUGAGAACCGGUCGUCCCAAUUGGACUGCCAAUUCUCUAACCGGCCGUCCAGUUUGGUCGACUAGGUCAAUUUUUUUUAAUAAGUAAUGUCAAGGGCAUUUAUGUAAUUUCAAAUGUUAGGCGAUUUUUUUCGAAACUUAGGGCGAUGUUUAACAACUCUCAUACCUUUACCCUCUCUCACAGAUUGAUCUAGCUAUCGAUCCCCCAUCGAUGCCUUCGGUGGCAACGCCUUCUUCUUCUACCCUUUGUUGCCUUUCCUCUCUCCCCCUAGUGACCGAUCCCUUGAGUUGUCCCCAGAACUCAUCGAUGGCUUCAGCGGUCGAUCUCUGGUUCAGGAUUUGAAGACUCGGUGGUUGUUCCUCUUCGUUUCCUCCAAUUUCAGUUCUAACAAACCUCGUCGGCGUCGGAGCGUACACCGAGUUUAUCCCGGCUCUGGUGUGUUCUCCUUAGCGGUUGGCUACAUAUGUAUCUUUAAAAUCACAUUAGUUGUUAUGUAUGAUCCUUCCACAAUCAUAGCAUAAAGAAGAAGGAAGCUUCUCAAACUUGUAAUUCACCCACUCAGCUUCUACAUCAUCACUUGCGCAGAAGCCACAAGGAAGAGGUGCAUCGAGUUUGGUUGAAACCCUAGCGCGGAUGAAUCUACCCCACAAAGUUGGGUCAAAUCCAUUCUCAUCGAUGUGAAUCAACGCUGGUAAUUGAGCUUCAAGGAUGGCCGAUAGAUCGGCUUUAGUUUUCCACUCUUGUGGUAAGUCGUGGACUUGGAUCCACAUGUCACAAUGGGAAACUCUAUUUGACGCCUCCCACUUUUUCAGCACCAGGAGAGAAUCCGAAAGUUUCCAUGGUCGCCCAUUACAUGCUUUCUCCAGGUCUCUUUUGUUCUGGAAAGUAAGGAUGAAGGUGUUGCAUGCAACAUCACUCACCCUGAGGCCUUCGCACUCCAACCAAGCUGUGUCAAGGAUGCUCUUCAUGGGUCCGGCGUAAAUGCGUCGGGAGGUGAUCAUUUUCCAGGCAAGCAGUUGGAGUCCUCCCGAUCCUGAAAUCUUCGAUUUGUGCUUCACCAAUGGUUCUUCGCAGCUCCGCUCUUUGGUCUUCCUCACAAGCUCAGACAAAUCCAUGGUGUGACAGAUUGAGGUUUGCAAGCAGGUAAGUGUGUUGUUUUUUUUUCGGUUUCUGGUAUUAGGAUUAAGCCUAGGAGGAGUUUUUGUCUAUAUAUUCUGCUCCAUUUCCUUUGGUCAUUUAUUAUCCUCAAUCUACUCUCUGAACUUGGUAUUAAGGUGUAUCCACUUUGUGUGAUUUGCCAUAUGCCUAGAGCCCCUCCCAGACACCCUUUAGUCACCUGUUUUUUCGUAGGGAAAGAGCUGUGGAGCCUGAGAUUACUCUGUUUCAAUUUAAUAUCCUUGGAUGUGAAGUAGCUUGGGUGAUUUCUGGUGUAGUUGGCUUUAUAAAUGCUCCCAGGAACUUCUUUCAUACGACAUUUAAUUCGUUUUAGGACAGGUGCUCCCUCUUUUCUAAAUGUUUUUCCAUUAGUGUUCUCUUUAAUGCUUCCUUGUUCUGGGUUAUUCACCAAAUAAAAAUACUUGCUUUUAUGGUUGAUGUAGCUGCAUUUGUUGAGUAUAUUUAUUUUAUUGGCACUCAGGGCCUGGAGACAUCCUUGAAGGAUCAGAGGAGGGUCAUUACGAUACAAUCCAUGACGGACCGAAGAGAAAGAUCCAUUGCGGAUCGGAUCUGAUUCAAAAAGAAUCCUAGCGAAGCAUGAAGCUUCAAAGAGUUGAGAGCACAUAAACGGCUCUUUUUUGGAAAAACUCGUUCCUAAAAGGAAUGUUAUGGUGCAUGCGGUCGCAAGAAAGUUACAGGAUGGACACCAAUCCUUUGAAUUUUAAAUAGCAAUGAAAUCAUGCCCUAAUUGUCAAUUUAGUUAGAAAAAAAGUAUAUUUAUAUUGGCAAGCAUGAUGAGGUGUGGUCUAGUGCUUAAAAAUAUUUAUAUUGUAGAUUGAUCGUAUACGAAUCGAUUAACGAAGACGAUAAAAAUAUUGUUGGUACAAGUGUGAGAACUUAAAGCUAUGUGAUACUGUUAUUCGUGUGUGAGAUUGAGAUAUGAUCAUGAGUUGGCUUCGAUGUCGGUUCAUAUCUUACUAAUGACAACAUUGCUGUUUUUUAUUCAUACGUGUGAGGUUGUGAUACACAAAGUUAGAAAAAUACAACUGAUAGAAAACUAGAAAUACAGUGGAAAAAUGAAGAAAGGAUGUUGGACCGUAGAAUAACAUAGUCUCAUAUGUCACUAAAUAGGCAGGACAGUUAUUCGUACGAGGGACAUAGCUAUGAAUACCUGUAAACAAAGAUGAGAGAAAUAACAUUCUUGAAGAAGCUGGCCCUGCCCAAAUGUCAUCAGUCAUAUCGUUGACAAGUCAGACGGCUUUAGCCAAGCCUGAGAGAAUGGAGAUGGUGUCGUGAUGAGGACAACCUGUUGCAAGAAGAGCAUGUCGGAUGGCGCGGCCAUGCAUGAACUCCAUGAUGAGAGGGUCGGCGAUGUGGUGAAUCACUAGUCUUGUGGCUGAGAUGAGCUGCCCACAUGCUUGGUGAAGAACAACGCCCAUUGCAUCAAAACUAAGAGAGGUCUGUAUUGCGACAUCCACGGUGAACAUCCAUGCCAUCAAUUGACGUCAUGAAAGUGGGGCAGCCUGAGGAGUAGAAGCAAAACAUGCACCUUUGAUCGUGAAGUAUGAGCUUCCAUCUUAAUGAGGAAAUAGAGUGUUAAAAAAGCUCGAAGAUCACCGUAUUUUUGGAUUUCCAAAGUCAUAAAUAACCUUUAUUAAAACUAUAAAAAAAACUAUGUAUUUUUUUUACUCGGGAAUCGAGAUCUUAUUUAUUACUAAAUUAUAUGUGUUUGGAGAUUCAUUGUGACAUGUCAUUUUUUAAAUGAUUUCUAAUUGACAAUUUUAUGACAUUUCUUGCUCAUAAUCAUGGUGUGUGAUCACACGGCGGAUGGCUCUUUUUAGUGCUAGGUUUUUCAUUUGUUAUUGAAUUAUAUGCGAUUUAGGUUGUCAUAUUGAUUAUGUUAUAUCAACACAUAAUUACAAAACUCGUCCACUUAGAUUAAUGUUUUCUCGUUAGCACCGUCGUUCCAAGUAAUCAUGGAGUCACUUGAACACUUAAAAUAAAGAUUGACUACUUAACUUACCCAAUGGUUGCUAAUGUUUUGGAUAAAAUUAUGAUUGUUACCGUUACCCUUGCGUGUCGUAGGACAUCGCACAUCCCCCCAUACAAUCCCCACUUCCGCCCUUUCUUAGCGGUUGUCGGACUCCUACCGAUCGUUGAUCUUGCAACCCUCUCACCUGACUUGCAUCUUGUGACAGCACUGGUGGAGAGGUGGAGGCCGGAGACGAACACUUUCCACAUUUACCAUGGGGAGUGCACGCUAACUCUAUAGGACAUGGCAAUGUUGACUGAUUUGGCAGUUGACGGUGUUGCGGUCUACUACCCUCUCGAGCGUUAUGGGCCACAGAUGCUAGACUUGGUAGAGGAGACCUUGGGCGCGAGGCCGAUGGCGAAGGACAUCUUACGUGAUGGACCACUGCAGAUUGGGUGGUUACACUCGACGUUCAAGAAGCCGGAGCACAUUCCUGUCGAUGACAGUCGUAUGUUGGGACAGUACGCACAGACGUACAUGUUGACGUGCAUAGGGGGUUCCUGUUCACGGAUAGCUCGGCUACUUACGUCCACUUAUCGUACCUGCUGGUCUUGUGAGAGGUGAGGGCGUUCGCUUGGGGUCAGCGGUUCUGUCCUGGCUCUAUCGGAAGGUUGGUCAUUCAUCGUUUCGGUUGGAGUCCACUGCCACGAAGGGGGCCGGUGACAUCAGUGGGUGGACCGUGCUCCUUACAACUUGGGCACUAGAGAGAUUCCCGACCAUCGCACGGCGACUACACGAGGAUAGGCUGAUAGGCUGAGUCGCGGCAGUGGUCUCAGCAACCUCCGUCACAAGAGUGGUUCCAACCACCUCCGUCACAGCAAUGCUCCCAACCACUUUCGUCACAGCAGUGGGUCCCACAGAUGGGUCACGACGGAGCCAGCACUCGCACACAGUGGGCAGUGAGACACAGUAUCUAGAGUCCCAAUUCGAGCCACUGACGCCCGAGGAGUAGAUAGUCCUACAAAGCGUUAUGGACACGGCACCAUGGAGGGAUCGUCGACCUAGAUUGCGAACCAACCCUCGACAGGCCAUGUGCGACAUCAGAGACCAUCCCAUCACAGAUCAUUGAAGGCGGGGGAGAGAGGGAGGUCGUGGAGGUCGUGGUUAGAUAGGUGGUUUUUUGUUGAUUCUAGUACACUUUUUCCCAUUUUAUGAUUGUAGUACAUUUUUCCUAUUUUAUUAUUGUAGUACAUUUUUCCCAUAUUAUGAUUUUAGUACACUUUUCCCAUUUUGUUAUUUUUUCUCAUUUGAAUGCCAGAUGGGUUCACUUGUUCCCUAUUAAAAUACUCAUAUAAUUUAUAUGGAUUGACAGUACAACAACACUUGAAAAGGGACUAAUAUUAAAGCAAUAUGGCCAUGAUUACACUCUCACAUAAAACUUAGCACGCGUACAAGAAGUUCAAAUUAUUGCAUAACAUAUGGCACCAUAAACACCAAACGCUGGCAAACAUAAACGAUAAACGUUGACAAACAUAACACAACCUACACGUUGUAACGACGAUUUCUACUUUGUGUUGUUGGGCGCCUGGUUUUCCUUUGCGUUGUUGGGUAAGUCUUUCGGUUAUGGCCUAAGGUGUGGCAUACGGGGCGCACCAUCUGUGAUCUCAAGAUGCUUGGACAUUGGCCUCGCAUAUGCCCAUCUUGGUUGCAAAUAGUGCAAUACGGCUCUAUGUCUUCAGUCCAAUCCAUUUCAUUGUGGAUUUUAGCAUGCCUUGGUCUCCUCUAGACACGGAGAAGAUUGCAGUUCGGGAUGAUCUCAGGUCCAUCAUGUUGAGGCCAGUCCUCCGACCCAUUAAUAGGGCGAAAACUAACAUAAUAUACCUUGGCUAUUGUGGACAACCUAAACAUGGGAUGCAGGAAGUGGUAUGGGUUGAGGUUGACCUCGUUGUACACCUCAUAAGCAUGGUUACACGAAAUCUUGGAGUGGUGGAAGAUACCACAAGAACAUGAACUAAUCAUGUCUGUGUGAUCCAUGUAGACCUUGUAUGUGUGAUUUCCAUAUCCAUUUAUAUUGGUGUAUGCACUAACCACAUCAUACUCGCCCGCCGUGUUAUCGAAUACUCGCACUGUGUGAGUCUGUCAGUUGACACCACGCUCACGCAUGAUUGUACGACACUUCUCGGUCCAAUAUUCAUUAGUGCGGAUGUCCGCCUCAUAUUUCUUGCACCGUUCAUCAAAAAAUCUAGUAAGCCUACCAAACACAGCACAACUACUAUAAGAAUGCAUGAUGAAGUUACACUGCUAGAUACAUCGAAAGCCUUAACCACAUACCUGUUAAACGUUGAGCUAGCCAAAGCGCAUAUCGACAGUGACCUGAUCCCUUUGAACGCUUCGUUAAUACUCUCACCAUGUUCGUGGUCAUUAUUCCAUGGCGCAUGCCCCCCAACUCGGCAUCAACACAUUUGCUCCACUUGUCUUAGUCUUCGAGGAUCCAGUUUGUCUUGUUUAGGCCCAGUUUUGCAUCGGCGGCAAAGAAACUAGUAAGUUUGGUGUUGAACGUCCUCUAUGACCCUUCAUGGACUAUAACCCAUUGUUAUGCACAUCGCCAAAGGAAUUUAGAUAAAUGCAGCAGUUGUGAGGGGAAGUUUACCUAUGGACUUCAGUCAUGCCUUCAUGUUGGGGUCCUUCACAUUGUUGUUCUAGUUGCUUUCAUAGUGUCGGCUGCACCAUCUACAUACCCAGCUCCCACCAAUUUGGUCCAUCGCAGCUCAAGUCCGGCAUGACGAUUUGAGAUGACGCAUAUGUGCUGCCUAGCUGUCACUAGCUCUUGGAUGCAAUGGAGGAAGCACGCCCAAGUGCCAAUGCUCUCUUUGUUAACGAUGGCAAAGGCGACCGUCAAAAUGUUAUGGUUGCCAUCAAAUGAACUAGCCAUCAACAGGGUGCCAAUAUAUUUCCUGGUAAGGAAGGUGCCGUCCAUAACUAGCACAGGUGGACAAUGUCGGAACCCUUCAAUACACGGCCGCAAGCUCCAGAAUAUAGAACGAAGCUGCAUUCGAAUGCCAACACCUCUUAUUAAGUCAUCAAAGCGGAACUGGACUUGGGUGCCAGGGUUACAAUUCUGCACUUCAUUGAAGAUAUCUUGAAGCUUGUUGUAAGACUCCUCCCAGUUGUCAUAGGUAAUCUACAUAUCUCUCUGCUUGAAAAAGGUGUGAAAUCUCAUCUUGGAUCAAACAGAUCCGAAAGUGUGACCUUGACAGGAUAGGGUGCAUCACUGCAUCCACGAUGACAUUCACAUCUAGUUGGGUAGACUCUAUGUUGUGCUUGGUUCAGUCACAUGUGUGAUGUGGAUUCCAUUGCCGAAUCGUCUAGAACCCGUCGUCUGUGCUGCUGGUGACGCGUAACCUCCAUGGGCAGUUGUUCGUUUUGUACGAAUAACACAUGACCUCCAACUCCCAAGACUUUGAGUGAGACGUCACCAUGGCUCGAUUGUGAUGUUGGGCCUAGUGUUUGACACCAAGACUUGCCUGCUUCUUCGUGUAAAACCAUUGGCCGAUGUAGAAAUGUUAACGGGUGGGGUCAAAAUCUGGGAUCUCAGCGCCACCCUCGUAGUGGUCAACAGUCAUCACCUGACCGAUGUUGUCGCCCAACGUUGUGUAAAACUCAUGCGGAGUGUACUCCCAUGGUGGGACACGAGACGAUGUUGCAACGCCCACAUCGAUUAUAACAUUAGAAUCCUCCCGCUCUGGAUGGAGAGGGCCAAUCGGCGUAUUGUCGUCGUCCUUGCUCGAGGCCUGGUCAUCUUUCCCUUUCCCAUUAUUGUUAUCCGGAUCGUACUCAGCCUCGUCAUCAAUGUCGUCUUGAUCCACUGUAUCAGCGGUAGGUUGUACGCCUCACUGUAAGACCUCGUCAACGUUCUGUGAACCAGAAAGUUCAAAGUACCCAGUCGUUGAGGAUUGGCCAACUGAGCCAUAAACUCCAUCGAUUGCACCUUCGAACUCAAUAUAUAGCUCCAGCCUAUUACACAUAGGGAAGGUAUUUACCAUGUAGUAGAUGGCUCCCCAAGACUCUUCAUCAGUGCAUGGCCGGAGACAAUAUCCAGCAAUAGUAUCACCGGCCACCAUAGGUUGACGAUAGUACACGGUCCGGAGGAUGGCCUCCGUUGGGAUCUUCAUUUUCUUCAGGAAAAAAGGAAUGGCUCGGGCGAAGGUUGGGGUUGAACUCAUCUUCACUCUACGAGAGUGACCACCGGCAUACUCAACUCUGAUGUUCGAGUAAAAGGGAUGCCUCCCAUCGAAGAACGAAGGCGAACUCGACCAUUAUCUAUUUAAAAGGAUAGAGAGGAUAAGUAGAGUAGGCAGAAUGAGUUACAAAAUGGUGCUAAGAACUUGUGAGUUGUGAGCAAUGGAGGUUUGUGCUUGAAUAGAUGGGAGAGGGUAAUAUUACAGCAGGAUACGCCACAGCAAAUUCCCUCCACCAGCAUAUGCCACAUCAUAUUCUCUCCAAUCACAUUUACAGCUGGUAGCAACUUUAGGCAACAGUGGCAGGUUUUGAUCACGGACUGUAAAGCUUCUGGCCAAAAAUUAUAGUUGUAUGCACCUUUCAUACAACUUUAGCAUCUUUUGACCGAAACAUACAGCUUUUGGCUGGAUUCAGACAGCUUUAGCAUCUUUUGACCAGAAAAUUCUCAGUUACUCAUCUUUUGACAGUUACCGUAAAAAUUAUUUAAUUACCUACAACAAUUUGAAACACAACCGAUUUAUUAAAAACGAUAAAUUCUUUCAUCCAACAUUGCAUAACAAGUACAUAAAUAUUACACCACACUAAACCUUCUAAGCUUCGUAUUUGCAUCCUUUUAGUCUUUGGUGCUUGCCUCGAUGUAUGUAUCAUUUGAUCAUAUGAUGCAUAUCCUCUCACGUUGCCAUUCAAAACGAUCAUGUGUCAUCUCAGAACGAAGAGCUUCAAUCUCAGCAUCCUUCUCAGCAAGCUUCACUUCCAUUGUAGCUCGCCUCUCGCGCCUCACCGAGUUCUCAUCCAACACCACCUCAAACUUCUUCUCGAACCUACACUUAUAAAAAGGACAAUUGAAGUAUUUCUCGAACUUCGGCAUCAUCAGUCUCGCUGCACGAAAUCUGCAAUCACACUUCACUUCUUCUCCGAAGUAGGUGAACAAAUCCUUUGACUCAUCGGGGCGGCGAAACUUGUUCGUAACAUUCUCGUUGGACUUGCUUGAAGACAUUUUGUUGACGCUUGCUUGAAGACAUUUUGAAAUGAAUAGGUAUGAUGGGUGAGUUCUUACCCCACAAAAUGCACGAUUUAUAUAAAGGGUUAGAAUGUAGCCGUUGGAGGCCACUUACAAUGCACGGCGCGUUGUUGGUGGCCUCUAACGGCCGUUAUAAACUAGCUGUUGAGAGGGCACCUACAAUGCGCCGCACGUUGUAAGUGGUGGUGAUGGCCAUUUUACGUAAUUAAGGUUUCGAGUUGAUUAUCUACGUGAUUUUUGAUUAAAUAUUGCCUAAAAAAAUUUCCAUAUCUAAAUGAUUUUUAACUGGCGGUUUAUGACAUUUUAUGCGCAUAUCAUUUGUUAUUGAAUCAUGUGCAGUUUGAGUUGUAAUUGAUUGUGUUACAUGAAUCCAAAUUGCCCGUUUAGUCGUCCACUUAGAAUAAAUAAUCUUUCUCUCGGUUACAUCCUUAUUCCAAGUAAUCAUUGAGGCACUUCAACAUUUAAAUCUAGAUUGACCACUUGACUGAUCAAAUGGUUGCUAUUUUAGAGCUAAUAAAUCAAGUUUGUAUACUAUUCUAAUCCAGCCACCGUCCGACAAGUUCGUUCAAGCGAUACUCCAGGCAGGUGAUCCUCAUCUCCAACCGACAGAGCUCCAUCGAAUAUAGCUCGUAACACCGUAUCCGGUAACUUCCUCGUAAGUCUCACUUCAUCCUUCAACAUGUCUAUAACCAGUUAUAAGAUUCUAUGAACGGUUGCAAGGACUCUAUACCCGCUACUAUACUCUUGAUUCAGUCAAACUUUUCCACUUAUAUUACAGCAUUUGGAUGAAAGUCUUAAUAGCUUCAAGGGCAAGGUAGAACAAUGACAUUAACACAGUUUGGGUUAUGAACUCAAAGCUUUCUUUUUACAUGAGCAUUUCUAUAGAACAUGAAGGCUACAACACUAUAAGCCAGUAUCAUAUUCUAAUAUCUGGUUGUUCUUUCGAUCCAAAUCGAUAAGCAUUCAUGAGGGGACUGAAAUCUCGAAAAGCGUAGGAACUUCAAAUUUAUAACUUAACUGCAUGAAUUUCUAGAUAUCACAGAAAGAAGUGAUGCCAAACCUCCUCUAUAAUAAGCUGUCGUUUUCUUCCUCGGCAAAAGUAUGAAGUGCAUUAUUCAGGGGUUGCAUGCCCUUUAGUUGAAGAUUAAUAUCGAGGGUUGAGAAUAGUCUUGCUAUGAUGAGCUAUCAGAAUCAAAAGUGCAGAUCUUUCGUUGGACGAAAGCAAUCCAUAUUGAAAGCAAUAGUUAGUAUGCACAAUAGGUCCUGCAAAGUGGUGAUAUUUCACCUGAAAAUGGCUUUCAUUUCGAUUGAACUGAAGUCGCCAGCUUAUGGAGUGUUGGUAUCUCCGGCUCCUGGUUCAUGGUUAGAUGCCACGAAUUAGGAUUACUGAAUUGUAGCCGUGGAGGAAAAAAAUUCUAAGUUAACAGGAGAGGGAAAAGGAGAUUGCUAACCUGGUUCAAACUUCCAAUUCCUGAAACUCUUCCUAUCAACAUUUAGGGUUCACAACAGCAUAUCAGUUCAGAGAUCUGACAUUGACCAUCUUCAUGAAACCCGUAAUACAAGAGGGAGAAAAGUAACAUUCAAUUUGAAUACCUCCCAUCUCAACCUUCAACGACUAGAAGAAAUCUAGAACACAAAACAUGUAUGUGUCGUUGGUGAUCAAAAUCUCGCUUCAUGGCUCAGCUGUUGGGGCACACAACCAGCAGGCAUUAUGCACACAGUACACGCGAAAAUGAGACGUUCGAUAAAUAUUAAAUCAAACACCAUUCUGAUGCUAAUAGAAGACCAUGUAUAGACAAGAAUCAAGCUGUACCUGCAAGACAAAAAAGAACUCAUGCGAAGUAAAUGAAAUGAUUGGUUCAAGAACGAAGAUAGCUUACUUCUCAUGUCAAUUGUUGGUGAAGACAACAUUGCGAGCUGUUCGAGUUACUAACUGCUUCCCCUUUCUUGAAACCGAUUUCAGUACAUACUUCAAGUUUAGCCUCAUGUGUGUGUUAAAGUCUAGCCGCUUCAAUUCCUCAACCCCAUCCACAUCCUUAAACUGUCUGCAAUUCUCUAGAGUAAAAUCUGUCAAUAUUUUCAAACCAGAUAGAUUCGACAUUAAUCCGACUGGCAAUUGGACAUAUACAGCCUUUGCAACGACUUUAAUCCCCUGAGCCCCCUGAUCUCAGUUAAUUGUGUGCAAUUGAAGAAAUAUAAAGUUUGUAACUUUAUGAGGUCAGAGAGAUCUAACUUCCUAAUUGAGCUGCAAUCAUCCACAUGCAGAUAUGGUAACGACUCCAAUUCCUUAAUCCCAUUCACCUUUUGCAACUUUCUGCAUUUAUGCAAAUUUGUAAAUGGAUGAUAACUUGAUGAGAAUAUGUAUAUACAUGCUUCCCAUAUAUAGAAAAUGAGGCUUAAGCUACAAGUUUACAAAUUAGAGUUCUACUAAAAUUAGGAUUAUAAUACUAUCUGCACUAGGAAAGGAAAAACUAUACAGGAAAAACUAACCUUAUAAUAAUAAAAUCUUAAUACAAAUCCUAUUAUAAUUCUACACUCCCCCUCAAGCUUGGUUGUAAAUGUUAUGGCGGCCAAAGUUGGAUUGAAGUUCUUCCAAAUAUCUCGAGGUAGAGUCUUAGUCAGGAUAUCUGCUAUCUGUAGUUUUGAAGGCACAUAAUCCAUUUCAAAUUCCUGUUUUUUCACUUUUUCUGUGAUGAAAUGUCUAUCCAAUUCAACAUGUUUUGUACGAUCAUGAUGAACUGGAUUCCUUAUGAUGCUCAAUGCUGCCUGGCUAUCACACAGCAGUUUUACAGGUCGAUUCCCUUCCAACUUCAAUGGUUCGAGGAUGCGUUUUAGCCAAAUUCUCGCACAUAUGCCUUCAGAUACUGUCAUGUACUCAGCUUCAGCGCUGCUCCUUGAGACCACUCCUUGUUUCUUGCUUCUCCAUAUCACUAGAUUGCCCCAUACAUAGGUGCAAAAUGUUGAUGUUGAUCUUAAAUUAGUUAAAUCUCCAGCCCAACUAGAAUCUGUAUACAUAGUAAUUCACGUCUAAUUGAUAGAGAGGCCAAUCUACGUUUACUGCCAAUCUGAGAAGGACCAAUACUGUCUUUAGUUUUGCUACUGGGGCAAAAGUAUCCUCAUAGUCCACUCCAUAUGAUUGAGUGAACCCACGAGCGACCAACCUUGCUUUAUAUCGCUCUAGCUUCCAUCUAAAGCAUACUUGAUAGUGAAAAUCCACUUGCAGUCAAUGAUGAAUUUAUCUGGUGGAAGUUGUACCAUUUCCCAUGUGCAAUUUUUCUCUAGUGCUCUGAUUUCCUCCAUCACGGCAUGUCUCCAGUGUGAUAUCUGCAUUGCUUCUACUAUAGAUUUUGGUAUCUCAGUGGAAUCUACACUGCUUACGAAGGAUUGAUACUUGGCACUGAGGUUUCCAUACGACACCCAUCUUUCGAUCGGAUGUUGAGUGCGAGUACGAGUUCCUUUUCUUUGAGCAAUAGGCAGAUCCAUUGAACUAUUAGGGUCUUUAUUGCCUGUUUCACUGCUUGUUGAAGUGUUAGUGUCAAUGUGAGCUUCCUGGGAGACAGGUUGCUCGUCUGAUGAUGGACAGUUUGAAAGUUGUGUGUCGGGUGUCUUCUUCCUCUGUUGAUACACCAAGAGAGGUUUAUUUAUAUUAUCAUCAGUGCAUUGAGUACUUGUGGUAGUUUCUAUGAGACUGGAAAAUACUAAGGGAAUUGGCACGGGUUCUAAUGAUAUGAUAUUUCCAAGGGAAAGCUGACAAGAAUUCUCCCCCUGAGGCUGAGUUUGGGAAUAGUAGGGCUGAGAUUCAAAAAACUUGACAUCGUUGGAGUGAUAUAUUUUUUGAUGGAGGGGCGAGUAGCACUUGUAACCACUAUGAUUUGAAGAGUACCCGACGAAGACAAGAGGAAUCGCUCUAGGAUCUAAUUUAGAGCUAAGGGAAGGGGCUACAUGGACAUAAGCUGUGCAGCCAAAGAUUUUUGGUGGAAGGUCGGAGGAGAUUGCAUGGCUGUGAGGGAAAGCAGCUAGGACGACAUUUCGAGGUGUUUCGAAUUUGAGAGGUCUACUAGGUAGUCGGUUGAUGAGGUAUGUAGCUGUUAGCACUGUUUCACCCCAUAAAUGUUUGGGAGCGGUGGAAGCAAAACACAAUGUCUUACCUACUUCAAGGAGGUGCGAAUUUUUUCGUUUGUCCACUCCGUUUUGUUGUGGGGUGUAGGGACUGGAACUAGUUAGUAGACCUCAGGACGACAUUUCAGUUGAUGAGUGAUACCAUGAGUUGAGAGAUAAGUACCAAGGGAGCUAUUUAGACCCAACAGGAAGUGAAUGGUUCUCUUGGAUUCAAGGAUCUUCUGAUAAAGGGCAGCAUCAGCUAUGCAGACCCAAAGAUGCACAUCAUAUAGAUCAUGUUGCAUCCAGAAUUUGCUCAACUCAUCAUAGUAUUGAAGGACUGUCAUGUCUCCUUGUUUUAGGUCAUGGAGACGCAUCUCGAUGUUGAACAACUGAGCUUGUAUUCGCCUGAUUUGAAUAGGUGUGAUGAGCACUAUCCCAACUUUCGUAGGCUAUUUUCUGAAGGAGGAAUUUCUCACCAAUAGAGGGUGUCAUAGAGUUGGAUAAGUCAUGAUUGCACCAUGUUGUCCUUAAUUUCAGUUGGUAAAUUGAGGAUUGGUUUCAGCGGGAGGCUUGCUUUUGCCAGAGAUGUAGCCCUUCUUUCCUUUGCUGGAGAUGAAUUUGAGGAUAAAGGAGGACCACUGGAGGUAAUUAUCACCAUUGAGGCGGUGAAUGGUGAUGCUUCUGAUGAUCGUGUCUGUUGGAGGUAGAGGAGGAGGGCUGGAGUUAUUGUUUGGGUGUUGAUGAGUUUCUGGAACACUAGAGGAGUUUGAUGAUGGUAUCUCGAAGUUGAUGGAAUGACUGUAAAGAUCGUCGUUCACCAUGGAUGAGAUUGAGAGAAAUCUGGAAAAAGUUUUCUUGGGGUUUUCUGAGGGUUUUUCUUAGGACGGAAGGGAAAUGAGAGAUACGAAAUCAGAAUUUUGUCGAACCAGGCUCUGAUACCAUGCAGAUUUGUGAAUGAAUUUUAAUUUGACGAUAAUCUGUAUGUACAUGCUUCCCUUAUAUAGAAGAGGAGGUUUGAGUUACAAGUCUAUAAAUUAGGAUUCUACUAGGACUAAAAUUAUAAUCCUAUCCGCACUAAAAAGGAAAAAACUAUACAGGAAAAACUUACCUAAUAAUACUAAAACCCUAAUACAAAUCUUAUUAUAAUUCUAAACUUUAAACUAAAAUAUCCCAAAUUUUUCAAACCAUAUAGAUUCGGCAACUCCUUAAUUGAUUGGCAACCGAAUAUACACAGUUCUUUCAACGACUCUAAUCCUCUGAGCCCCCUUAUUUCAAUCAAUUGUGUGCAACUGUAGACAUGUAAAAAAUUUAACUUUAUGAGGCCAGAGAGAUCUAACUUCCUAAUCAACUAGCAAACGUCAAUUAACAGUUUUUGCAACGACUCUAAUCCCUCGAGCGCCCUGAUCUCAUUCAAUUGUGUGCAACCGUAGACGUAAAGUUUUCAACUUUAUGAGGCCAGAGAGGUCUAAGCUGCUAAGCUGCUCACCCACAUCUUGUAACAACUCCAAUUCCUCAAGCCCUUCACAUCUUGUCUGCAUUCCUUUAAAGUAAAAUUUGUUAAAGAAACAUCCCUAUGAAUAUGCUACAUAUAUUGACGAUUUACCUGUCCACUUGAUUAGUUAAUGCAAGAUAAAUAAAUUUCAUACAUAAACCAUUUAGGAAACCCUUCUAUAUUCCGUAACUAAGGAAGUUGUUAAUAAAAUGAACAUAUACUAGAAGUACCUCUCUAAGUUAAAUAUGUUGAUGGCAUCGUUGUUGGACCAUAUUCUGUUGCGUUUGUACGGAUUUUGACUUUUUUCGCGAAUAAUGGCUCUGUCAAGGACUCUAAUAUGAUCAUGCAUCCAAAACUUGUUAUUAUCAUUGAUUCUUACUAUAAACCUCUGAACAAGAGUCUUGAUUGUUAUUUCUGAAUAAAAUCAGAGUCACUCCACAUAUACAAUGACAGUUCUUUUUUUGCUCCAACAAAGAAACAUGUAAUAUCGAGAAAGAUUUGCUUCUCAUUGUAAGUCAACUCAUUAUAACUUACUUCUAACAGCUCUUGCGCCUUCACCGAAGGUAUUGCUUUUAGUUCGAUGAACUUAUCUUUCCAAAAUAUUGUGUCUGAUUUAAACAAAAGUGACCCUAUGACCUUUAGGGCCAAAGGUAGGCAUGAUGCAACUUGUACAAAUUUCUUGCAUAGACUUGCAUAAUCUUCUAGAGGAUAAUCUACUCCGAAAGCAUGUUUGCUAAAAAAUUAAAGGGAGUGAUCAUGACUAAUUUCUUUAAGCCCAAACAUCUUACAUUCAGUAAGAAGUUUCAAAGUUCUUGCAUCUCUGGUUGUAAUAAGAAAUCGACUAUCUAUCGAAAAGUCAUCUAACUUCUUGAAGAUUUCGUCAAAAUGAAAGCUUUCAUUUACAUCAUCAAGGACAACAAAAAAUUUGUGCAUCCUAACUCUCUCUGGUAUCAUUUGGACUCUGUAGCUAGAAUUUUUAGUCUGAACAAAAUAUUUGUUUAGAAUGUAAGAAACGACCUUAUUCUGUAGAGCUACCACUCCAUCAUUUUUCAACAAUGUCUCUCUUAUGUUAUCGAGAAAACAGCAACAUUCAAAUUGCAUGAAAACUUUGUUAUAAACAACAUUUGCUAGAGUGGUCUUACCAAGGCUUCUCAUACAGUAAAUCCCAAUAAUUUUCUCACUUACAGAGUCCAGAUUCAAUAAUUACACAACUUCUUCCACGGAAAAAUCAAUUCCCACCAAUUCGUCAGCUGCCAAUGGAUAAUUAGCCCUACGGUGGAACUCGACCGUGCUGAAAAUUUUGUCUACAACAGUUCCUUGUCUGAAAAUUACAUAUAAGAAGGUUUAACAUCAACUCAAAAUAUGCAACUACGUAAACCAGGAAAUAAAAGACAGUCAUGUAAGAGACUCAACGAAAGAAAUAAGCGAAAAAAUGUGAUUUUCAAAUUCAAGAUGUAGAGUUACAAUAAAGAAGACAUGAACUGUAAAUGUUUCCAGGUUUAAAAUUGUGGAAGUAUAUGGUUAAAGUAUGAACAAGAAAAGUAUUGACUACCCAGUUAAAUCGCUGAUAUGCCAUCCUUUCAUUUUCCCAACCUCUUGGAGUGCUCCCUUCCAUUCCAGGAUGGUUUCCGGAUCAUGCUUCAAGUUAUGUUGUUCAAAUGAUUCCUUGUAAGGACCAGAAUCCGGAUGUCGAACCUCUCUAGGAUUCAUGAAAUAGAAAGCAGGGAUGAUGAUGUGUUGUCCCUUUGCUUCUCCUCCAUUUUUCCAACAAUCCAGCAUCUUAGCUAGUUCCUGGAGACACCAUUUACUAGAAGCAUAGUACUCUGUUAAGAUUGGAAUCUAGAUCUUAGAUUCGGUAAUAGCCUGGAUUAGAGAUCGGGCAAUAGUUUCCCCCUUAUGGAGUCCUUCCUUGUCUCUAAAUGUGCGGAUUUUGGAACGAACAAGGCUUGUGUACAGAUGGUCAGCAAAAGUUUGGCGGACAUCUGGGCCUCUAAAGCUCAAGAAAACCUCAUACUCUCCAGAUGGAAGAGGGAGUAAUGUUGGAUCGACAUAUGCACGUGAAUGGAAAGAGUCAAUGGAGCCAUCAGAGUCGGAUCUCAUCAUUGUUAAUGUAAAUUGAGAGAGGAAGAAAGUCCCGUUCAGCUGCUAGCUUGCUGCAACAGAAACAGAAGAUAACUCUAAACAUGACCGAAAACCUUCAACUAACAAAAAAAAUUCUAAAAUCAUACAAGGAAAACAACUACCGGAUCAGAAGUUCGGCUGCAGACUAGCUACAAUCCAAACAGGAGACAAACCCUAAACAUAUCGGAUGAAGCUGGAAAAACCUCCAGGUGCUCAGCUGAUUAGUCUGGAGAAUUAUGGGUUGGGAUAAAUUCCAGCACUAAUAGAAAGUUGCAAUCGAGACCUAAACAUCGCAAAUAAUGUAAUCAGGAGACUUGUAGCUCUGACUAUGAACAGAUUUUCAAGGAUAUACAAGGAAAUUAGAAGCUUACCUACCUCAAAAUGUAAUCAGAGAACUUCAAAGCCCCAACUAAUAACGGAUAUUCUAGGAUUAUAGAGAAGUUUGUAGCAAACUUACCUAAACUGUAAUCAGGUAAGCUCUAACUAAGAACAGAUUUUCAAACAAAUUAGAAGCUUUCCAAACAAAAGACAGCUCAAAAAGUAACUAGAAAACCUACAAACAACAAAAUGGUGUCCAAGAUUACAGAGACUCUCGGAGCUUACCUGAUCAGUCUGGAGAACUACGGGAUCGAAAUUCGGCUGCUAGCAAGCAAGCUGCAAUCCGAACCUAAACAUCAGAAAUGUAAUCAAGAAACUUCUAAGCUCUACGUAAUAUUAGAUGAUGAAGAAAUGAUUUUUCAUUUCCCGCCAAAUCUCGACCUUUGCAACGUCUAAAUGAAACGGAGCGUUUCAUACUCUUCACACCAACACUUAAGUGAAACGGAGCACUUCAUCCCCAACAACGAUAAGAACAAAACGUCACAGGUUGCACUGCUGAUCAACAGCUCAUCGUCCUCUUCUCUGUUUUCUGCAAAUUCUGUUGAGAGCUUCAGACUCUCCCUCUCUCUUUCUGCCAACUACCAGCUAUGCAAUUUGUCGUCUACUUCCUUUCAUUCUCUGUAUAUGAACGUAGCAAUCAUCAAUGAAAGCGUUGAGGCAUUUUCUCAAAUUCUAAAUGAGUUAAUAUGGUAUCAGAGCGAGGUUGAGAGUAACAAUGGCAGCAGCUGAAUAUCCAUUGGCUGAUCCUUACUACCUCCAUGGUAGUGAGCAGCCAGGCCAGUCACUGGUCACUGAAAAGCUUACCACGAGCAACUACACUGACUGGAGCAGAGCCAUACACAAUGCACUUGGAGCCAAAAACAAAGUUGGAUUCAUUGAUGGAAGCAUUGAGGAACCAGAGGUCAUGAAUCCAAUGUUCUGGCCCUGGACUCGUUGCAACAUCAUGGUUCUCAGCUGGUUGCAACAAUCAGUUGAACCAGGCAUCAGAAAGACGAUUAUGGGGCUGAAGAAUGCACAGGANNNNNNNNNNNNNNNNNNNNNNNNNNNNNNNNNNNNNNNNNNNNNNNNNNNNNNNNNNNNNNNNNNNNNNNNNNNNNNNNNNNNNNNNNNNNNNNNNNNNNNNNNNGUUGUUCAGCGCAUGAUACAGCAUGAGAGACAACUCUAUGGAACACAACUCAAAGGCUCCAGUGAGAGCAUGACCAUGUUGGCUCCAUCAUCCAGCAUCAACUAUGCAGGACAGCAAACUGGCCAACAGGCAAAUUUUCGACCAGGUCCUCAGAAGGGAAGAAAUCUCUUCUGCACCUUCUGUAAGAUGCAAAAUCACAUAGUGGACAGGUGCUUCUUCAAAAAUGGUUUUCCCCUAGGGGUCACUCCUAGACCCAUGCCACAGCCAGGACCAAGGCAACCAACUGGUUCCAGGCCUAACUAUCCUCCAAAUAAGGGAGGGUUUAAACCUCAGGUUCAUGUGGCAACACAAUCAGCUUAAGGGGGAGCAAUUCAACUCACACAGGAUCAAUUCUCUCAGCUUAGGAAUGCUGUGAGACUCAAGGAUGCAGGAGCUCAACCAGCCACCUCUCAAACACCAGGUGCUCAUAAGCCAACUACACUGAUGUACUCAGCAAGCAAGUCUUGUUGUGGUAGUUUUGUGCAUUCACCAUCAGAUAAUGUUGUUUGGAUUAUAGACACGGGUGCAUCAGAUCACAUUGUUAGUUCAUUGAACUUGAUGACAUCAAGCAAGCAGAUAGAUGCCUUGAUGAUCACAUUGCCUAGUGGACAGCAAGUGCAAGCCACUCAUGCUGGAACUGUGCUAAUUAGUGAUACUCUAUCACUACAUGACGCUCUAUAUGUUCCUGGUUUUGCUUUUAACCUGAUCUCAGUCAGUAGACUAACAGCUCAACAGCCAUCAACAGCCAUUGAGACUGACUUUCUCUUCUACACAUUGUGUAUUGCAGGACCUAUCGAGGAACACCACGAUUGGUUUAGCUGAACUGCACAAGGGCCUCUACAAGCUGACAACCUGCAAACCAGUUAGUCACAUCGCCUCUACUCAACGAAAUAAGCCCUUUGAUUUAUGGCAUUACCGUCUAAGACAUGUCUCUCAUCAUAGAACACCUUUCCUUAAGCAACUCCACCCUAGUAUAGAGACUUUUCAUUUAGCUCCCUGUGAUGUUUGCCAUUUUGCUCGCCAGAAACGUUUAUCCUUUCCACACAGUGUUUCCAGUACUAAAGCACCUUUUGAAUUAAUCCAUGUCGAUCUUUGGGGUCCAAAUGCUUGCCCCUCACACGAUGGCUAUCUGUGACCAAGGCAAAGAGUUCUCAAUGCCUCUCUUCUACCAAGAAAACGGAAUUCUCCAUGAAAUGUCAUGUGUAGAAACACCUCAAUAGAACAGUAAGGUUGAGAGAAAACACCAGCAAAUUCUGAACAUUGCUAGAGCCCUCAAAUUUCAAGCCAACCUACCCUUAACCUUCUGGUCUGACUGUGUCAAGCAUUCUGUCUUUUUGAUGAACCAUAUCCCUACUCACCUACUUGAUAAUGAGACUCCCUAUGAAGCCCUUCACCAUUCCAAACCCAAACUAGAAGAACUGAGGGUUUUUGGUUGCCUGUGUUAUGCCAGCACCCUUGCAGGACACAUAACCAAAUUCCAGAAAAGAGCUAGGAAAGGAAUUUUCAUAGGCUUUGCACCUGGAAUCAAGGGUUACAAAAUCUAUGACAGACUCACACUAAACCUUUGUGUCUAGAGAUGUACGCUUCUCUAGAGAUGUACGCUUUUAUGAAAACGUUUUCCCUUUCCACACUGGCCAUAACAUUGGUCAAAAUGACCAGUUGCCAUUUCCAGACCAAACUGACUCUUCCUCUGAUACACAACCUUUUGUUGAAAUGGACUUCACUGAUCCACCAACCACUACCAAUCCAACCAGCACCUCCAUCCCUUCCACACCUGAACCUGAGCCUGAACCACACUCCUUUGUUCACAAUGAAGAUGAGUACAUGCCAAGCACUGAUGAUAACAGUGACAAUGGACAUGACACACCUUCCCAAUCGCCUGUCCCUCACGAUUCUCCACACCACAGAAAAAGUACCAGACCUCACAAACCUCCCUCCUACCAGCAGGAUUACCAUUUUCAGCUCCUUGUGCAGCAAAGCGACCCCAACAGUGAUGUUCCAAAGGUAUGUCCCAAAAUGCACAAGUCUGGAAGGAUAGCUCAUCCCCUCAAUGCUGUUUUGUCUUAUGAUGAUCUAACUUAUGAGCAUAAACACUUUGCCUUGAGUAUAACAGCAGAAAAGGAGCCAAGAUCCUAUGCAGAAGCUGCUAAAGAUCCUAGAUGGAAUGAAGCAAUGAAUCAGGAAACAAGGGCCUUAGAGGCCAACAAUACAUGGGAAAUAGUUGAUCUCCCUGUAGGGAAGAAAGAAGUUGGAAGCAAAGAGGUUGGAAGCAAGUGGGUCUACAGAAUCAAGUAUAAGUCUGAUGGAUCUGUUGAAAGGUUCAAAGCAAGAGCUGUAGCAAAGGGGUUCACGCAGGAAGAAGGUGUCGAUUAUCAGGAAACCUUUUCACCAGUAGUCAAGAUGACAACCAUUAAAACUUUUCUUGCGCUUGCUGCUUCAAGAGACUGGUUCGUGCAUCAACUAGAUGUGAAUAAUGCAUUUCUUCAUGGUGACCUACAUGAAGAGGUCUACAUGAAGCUUCCACAAGGACUGAAAGUGAGCAACUCACUGAAGAGACCAGUGUGCAAAUUACUCAAAAUCACUGUAUGGUCUGAAGCAAGCAUCAAGGCAGUGCUAUUGCAAACUUUCAGACAAGUUACAGGAAAUAGGUUACACUCAAAGCAAAGUUGAUCAUUCCCUUUUCUUAAAAAGUUCAGGUAUGUCAUUUACAGCCAUCCUGGUUUACGUUGAUGACUUGAUUGUUGGAGGAAACGAUUUAGCAGAAAUUUUAAGACUGAAGGAAGAACUGCACACUGCAUUCAAAAUCAAAGACUUGGGUGAAUUGAAGUAUUUCCUGGGAUUAGAGGUCACAAGAAGUGUCUCAGGAAUACAUCUGUCUCAAAGGAAGUAUGUGUUAGAGCUGCUGGAAGAAGCAGAAAUGCUGGAAAGCAAGCCACUUGCCACCCCAAUGGAUUACAAAACACACCUGUCAUCAACAGGUGAUGAUGAGUUUCAUAAUCCAGAAUUGUAUAGGAGAAUCGUGGGAAAGCUAAUAUAUUUGAACAAUACAAGGCCAGACAUAAGUUUUGCUACUCAACAAGUAAGUCAAUUCAUGUCAAGGCCUCUAAAUGUGCAUUACAAGGCUGUUACAAGGAUCCUAAGAUAUCUAAAAGGGGUUCCUGCUGCUGGAAUUCUACUAUCUGCUACAUCAAGCCUUCAAUUGCAAGCAUACAGUGACUCAGACUGGGCUGAUUGCCCAGAUACAAGAAGAUCCGUAACAGGAUAUUGUGUCUUCCUUGGGAAUUCACCAAUAUCUUGGAAGAGCAAGAAGCAGACCACCAUUUCCAUAAGCUCUUGUGAAGUUGUGCAAUUUGUCGUCUACUUCCUUUCAUUCUCUGUAUAUGAACGUAGCAAUCAUCAAUGAAAACGUUGAGGCAUUUUCUCAAAUUCUAAAUGAGUUAAUACGUAAGAAACAGAUUUUCAAGGACUACAAAGAAAUUAUCUAGCAAGCUCCAAUCCAAUUUAUCCAAACCUAUAACAUCGUAAAAUGUAAUCCGGAAACUUGUCUGAAUCUACCUGAUGAGUGUGAAGAACAAUAAGAUGAGAAACUUCUCUGGAUCUCCCUCGCUCUCUCGCUGCAUUAUUAGAACAUCGUGGUUGACUUGGGUUUCUGGAGUCGUUCGUGGCUGACUUUUCCCUUUUCUUCAUUUUACGCGCGCUAAUUUUCUAGAGGGAUGCCAAUAUAAAUUCUACAUAGUACAAGGUGCAAAGUUGAAUGCUCUAAAUGUAAUUUAUAUCAUUUUUUUAUUUUGUUGUGUUUCGUAACAAAUCAAAUAGCAUGGAUUUGAAAAAAUGUAUAUUUGAAAGAAAAUGAGAACCCAGAGAAAAAAUAUUUUUUGUAAAACACUAACCAAUUAAGAUUAGCUACAAUUGUACCACACAAUAACCCAUUCCAAAAUAACAUUCCAACUUAUAAAAGGGUUUAUGCAAAUGUAUGGCCACAUAAUUAACAACUCUGCAAUUUUCAGGCGGUCAACAUUCCAUCAUUCCUGCCCACAACCUACACCAAUCGGUCAACCAUGCAAAUCCCUCUUGAGCCGAUUCAAGUUCAUGGAACGAAACGAUUCAAGACGGUUUCGAACAGCCAACCAAGCAAAGCCAAUGUCAAGCGAGAACAUGAUUUGAUUCUGCAGCACCAUCUUGCAGGCAUGACUUGGGAGAGUUCUCAUCCGGACCGGUGAGGAUCUCAUAAAUGAACUUUAUCAAUGAGCAGAGCCCUCCAAGAAAGUUGUGAUCGAUAAUGCCAUUUCCCUCCGUCACAUGAGCAAAAUCGAUGAGCUUCACCGCAGCACCACCCAAACUCUCUCCUCCUCCUUCAUUCACCAUCUUCGUCUUCUCCUUCUCAUACACCAUAAGAACAGAACAAGAGUUGAAAUGAUAGAUGGUCUGAUCCUCAAACCACGCCUUCAGCUCCAGCAACUGAGCCAAAAUCCCAUUCGAGCCACCGUAAACGACCGCUGCAAACGAACAAUCGGGUUGGUCCGACUUCGGGUUGGAGGAAACAAACCGUUUAAGCACCAGCCUAACUUCACCAGCAUUCAGAUUCUGGAGAAGCUUCCUCUCAGGCUUCAAGACCACCUCCGAUGAUUCUUUGUCGUUACCGUAAACCUGCAAUCCGGAUAUCCGAAACCCAAGCAAGGGACUGCUGGAUUCGGUAUCCUUCUUCAUGCAUUUCUCAAUAUAGGCCUGAGAAGCCUCGGGGUACCACGUCCUGGAACCAAUCUUAAUGUCCAUGACACACGGAUGCAACCGAGUUGAAGUGAGAUCCUCUAAGAUGAGGUGAGGGUGGAGGCCCGAUCCAUCGGAAGCCUCUAUACUCUGAGUGCCAUAGAACGCUGGGAAAAACCUCCGAACAUGUUCUGGAAUCGUUUUGUGAGUAGAAAACGAUGUGUAGAAUGCCAUCUCCGUGGCGCCACGUUCAUCGCCUUGAAGUGGCUUGUAGAAUCGCCCCGAAUCAUCUACGAGAGGACCAAGGAGGCCAUUGAUGGCUUGAUGUCCAGCAACCUGAUGUUCUGGAACUUUGAACAUGGCUUUGGAGACAACCGGAUAGAGAAGCUACAGUCUUUUGUCCUUGAUCUUCUUAACCUAUAAUAUAAAUGCCAAGGAGUAGUGUUAUAUAAACCAAAACCUCUCUACACUGCAAAGGUUCUGUACAAAUAUAAGAUAAGAAACCCUAACCAUAGCAACUGUGUGUAGGUAAUAUCAUCGGCAUUAAGAGAAUCAUGCCAUGAAAUGUGCUGAAACUUUCCUAAUCCUUAAUUCUGCCAUGAAAAGGCGCUAAUGCCCUUAUUAAAAAGUCUGUGCCUGGUUUCUAACAUAGAAUAACAUAAACAUAACUUUAUGAAAAGAGUAGAUCUGUAUCUGAAAUGAAUGCUCAAAGAUAAUCAUCCUACCAAGAACAGGUAUGUUCUGUGUAAUAUUAAAAUAAGAAACUCAAACCAGAGCAACAUGUAAAAGCAGCCAAGCUCCGUAAUAUCAGCUCUAAAAGAACCAUGCCCGCCAGUUUAAAGGUGCUAAUACCACAAUAAAGAAAAUUAUGAAUAAAAUUCAAAGCCUAGCCUUUGUAAAGUACAACCUUGACAUCACUUUGUUACAUAGAAUAGUAUAAACAUAUAUAAUUGAUGAAAAGAGCAGGUGAUGAUCUGUAUUCAAAAUGGUAGCCUAAAGUUGAAAUCCUUUUCUCUACCAAGAACAGACAAAGUCUGUCACUAAACCACUAAACAACUAUAAAUUAUUCCCAGCACAAAUUGACCUUUAAAUGACGGAAGAUUGUUGACUAAUCGAAGAUAAGACAGCUAAAAGCUCAAGCUUUUCGAUCUUCAACAGCAUAUCCAAAAAAAUCGAAAUCGAAUUACCUCUCCCUUGCCGGAAAAAUGGAAAAUCUCCGCAAAAGCUCAAGCUUUUCGACCUUGCCGACCUGGAAUGGCGACGGAGGAGUCCAUUAUAUCCCUUUCGCCGCGAAUCAGCGACGAUUCAACGCUAACUCGCACUCUGGGAGUGGCUACCAACGGUGGAAAAAAAGCGAUGAUCCAGUUGAUCAGCUCAUUGUACUGGAAUCCGAUGCCGAAAUUUAUUAGUAAUUAGAUCCGGAAGCUUUCAAAUCAAAAGCAAAAGAGAAAAUGCAGCAAGCGGAUCGGAUACCGGAAUCCGAUCAGUACCAAUCAAAAGGAGGAAGAAUGAAAAGAAAACCCAGUUGAGAAUCAAGCUGAAACAGAGUAUUACGGUGACAGCUGAAGAUCUGAUGCAGUGUUGCACAAUGCGAGAUUGAGAGUUAUACCUGACUGGAUUGAUCUUCUUAUACACGGCAAUGGAGAUAGACAGAGAGAGAUAAAGAUUGGUGAAUCUACAGAUAUUUGCUCUCGUUGGAGCUUAGAGGUCGGCAGCGAGGUUUUCUCCUUCAACUCGGUUUCGGUUCUGGAAACCGAGUUAGGUUCGGUUGGAUUAGGUUGGUUUUGGUCGGAUCAGCCGGGUUUUUUAACGUGGAUUUUCAGUGAGAAAAACCUACGUGGCAUGCUGACUGUGCGUGCUUAACAGAAAAAACAUACAGGUGACGGAAGCUUAACGGAAGUAUGGUUUCAAAACUUUAGGACAAAACCUACGUUUGAUACUUCCACUCAUCCUCUUAUUGGGGUGUAACUUAAAAACUUCUGCAGCAUUUAUUUGUCGAAUUCGUUAACCUUGUAUCUCUCAAAAUGGUAUUGAAGGCGUUACGAGUAGAAAGAGGAUUCGAGUACAAUGUGGCGACGAAAGAAGGUGGGUCUAGAUGAUGAUAUACAUAUAAGUUCGAGUCGAACUUGAUUGCUCGCCUAAAAUUGCUAAUGAAAUACAAGCUUAUUGGGAAUCUUGGCUCCUUUUUCAGUUACCUUGACCUGCAAGCAUUUGACAAAACAAAGUUGAACCAGAUACACCCAAAGCUGAAGGCCAGACAUCUUUCAGUGUGCAGGAGCAUGAUAAGGAUAUGAUAGACUAUCGGGAAUUUAAAAUUAAAACUUAUGUUUAGCAUCGCAUUCGCACUCGGUGAGAACGAAAAGGUCGAGCCUUAUGUUUGGGUGUUAAAUCAAUUGAGAAUGUUGUUGGGCGAGUGACAACCGAAGGCAUUUGUGACUGACAAAGAGUGCGGAUUGGCUGUCGGAUUGCACACUGUCUUCCCAGAUGCGCCACACUUACUUUGCUUGUGGCAUAUGAAAAGAAAUAUCGCUGCCAAAAUUAAGUUGAUCACGAAGAAGGAAGAAGUUGUCGAUGCCUUUUUGCGCAGGACGUGGAAUAAAGUGUUGAAUGCACUUUCGGAUGAAGAGUUCUACAAAGAGUGGGAACGCAUGAUCUACAGUAAUUGGGCCAACAUCGGAGGAUUGAUGUCGUAUCUAGCGAGUGUGUGGCUAUUUUAUAAAACUCAGUGGGCCCAUUGUCACACAAAUAAGAUUUUCCAUAUUGGAAACACGAGCAGUAAUAAGGUCCCAAAAGUCGUCACUGAAGUCAUGGUACAACUCUUCAAAUCAUAUAAUUGAUACUUUAUUUGAGGGAUAUCAUGCUUCUAUCAAGGGAUAGGUCAUUAAGGUUCGGAAAGCCUUCGAUGAAUCUUGUGCAAAUAUAUUCAUAUCAAUUUUGAUAACUAGUUACUUAUAUUAUGUGAGAAUAACUAGUUAUAUAUGCAAUGUUUCUGUAACUAAUUAUACAUACACCAUUGUUAUAACUAGUUAUUUAUAACUUGUUAUAAUAUCCUAAGUGGAAUUGUUUAGACGAUUUGUGAUAGAGAGGUCCGUCCGUUCAGGUACUGAGUAGAUUAGUUCGGUCGCAAUUCCAGCCUGAGUCUGAGGGUUUGAAAGAGCCUAAGGUUUUUUAUGCUCCUAAAGGUAGACUUCGUGCCAGAAAAACAAACGGUCGAAUCCGUUUUGGCAUGAGAAUGCCAGUGCGAAGUGUACUCCUCCUUAAAGUAAAUCUAGCUCGACUCGGUCAACACCUUCGAAUACUAGCUGGACUCCUACAAAGGCACUUCCCGUUAGAGGUAUGUUAAGUAGUCGUCAAGUUUCAACCGACCUUCAUUUAUUAUAAAGGUCUAACCCAAAUUUAGUUCCUUCUACAGUUAGACGGUUCGCGCACUACAUCCCUGGCAGAUUGCGUGACAUGCUGAAAGACAUGUUUGACCCGAAAGGUGGUGUACAUUGUGGAUUUAGGUGCAUUUCCUAUUUAGUCAACAUCGAUGACGGUGGGCAUUAUGUUGCAAUGCACUGAAAGCUAAUAGAAUACGUGACGGUCAACUGGGGAAUUCUACAAUAACCCAACGUGUAUAACUCGGAAUUGAACGACGUCACACACCUAUUGGGUUGGCUGUGGGAGACCCGAUGUCAGGAACCGUGGUGAUUCUGGAAUGUGGAUCUACUCGAGUACGCUACUAUAUACAAUUGGACUUUCUUCGUUUUUGCACCCGGAGGACGUGGGGUACCGUAAGGGGAGACAUACGUACCAUUGACGGUACAGGAUGAGACAGGGGCACCGGGAAGUGUGUCAUACAUAGUGUGUACCGAAAAUCAUUAGGUCGUGCUCACCUUAGAGGAUGACAUCGGGGUCUUACCAAUCUCGGUGACGUCUCUGAUGUGGAGGUAUUAUGCUACUCUCAAAGUCAAAGAGAUGUGGGAAAAUCGUUUGUACACGACAGAACGUGUGAAAUACAACAGGAUGGUCCCACGACCCCGACCCCUAUCGAUGUUAUGCUUGUAUUUAGGGUUUCAUUUUGUCGGAUUAUGUUGGGAAGAUAUGUUAUUAUGUUUUAUGAUUGUGGAUGAUUUUUUCAGUUUCUAUGUUAUGUACGGGAUUAUACGAAAUUUUAUGUUAAAUUCAAGGAUUACAGUUUAUUACUGUUCAAAAACAUAUAAGGGCCCGACUGGCCGCCCUCCUCUAAUCUCAACACUCACGGAGCAUGAGACGAGCCUGUAGAAGCCAAGUGUGGAGAAGCCAAGUGUGGAGAAGUCAAGUGCGGAAAAGAUAAAUGCGGGGAAGUCAUGUGUUGAGAAGCUAGUACAUUCCUAUACUUAAAGGAGGGCGGUGGGACAUCAUACUCGUCAUCGUCUAGAAGAAAGGUCCUAACCGGGUACGUAACAGGAGAGUACCGGUCUGGGAGUUGUAGAUUUUCGUAUUCUUGUUCUUCUUCGAGAUAUCUGUCUCUUUCUGUUUCGAAGCGGUGAUCUUUCCCUCUUGCAGCCGAUUUAAGGCGCCGCUUGCUUACCUUUACCUCUCUUUUUCUGGAUUCCAUCUAUUUUUCUUCAAUAGGAUCAAUACUGUACGAUUUACCUCCACCUUUUGUCUUCGCCAUUUUUCAACAAACUACAUUUAACCAAAUAAAACACUACUAAUUACAUGUUAAUGUUGUAAUGUAAUUUAUUUCUAAUAAAAUUCGCAUUCUGCUAAACUAAAUUCAGUUACUACACAAUUUACUAACAAACUCAGUUAUUAGUAAUCACAUUCUAAACUUAUCAAUAGAUUACUACACUAAUUACUAAUUUCUUAAUUAAUUUCAUUAAUAGAUUAUCUAUACUAAUUCAACUAAUCACUAAAAUAUCUAAUUGCUAAUUUCUUAAUUAAUUUCAAUAAUAAAUUAUCUAUACUAAUUUAAUUAAUCACUAACAAUUAUCUAAUUAUAGAUCAUCUAUACUAAUUUAAUUAACCACUAACAAUUAUCUAAUUACCCUAUUACACUAAUUACAUAAAUUGAAUAAUUGAAAUUGUUAAAAAAAAAGAUUAAAGGCUAGCCGGCAGUCGGUUUGAACCUACCCAGCCGGUCGCCGGUUUUGGUCGAGGCAGGCAAUAGCCUUGAAGCCGUUCCAGCCGGGCCAUGCCUCGGCCGAAACCGGCGGCCGGUUGGGCCUUCAAUCCCAUUUUUUCAAUUUCGUACCUGAAACGGUUGCUUCAGAUGUUCGAUUUCUCCUCUGAAUCUUCAUUUGAGAGUGUUUGAGUUAGUCAAUAUAUACAACUUAUUAUAUGGAUUUCGAUUUUGUGAAAUGACAAUGACGUAAUUUACUCACUUUAGUGCGUUGUUUAAUUCGAAAGCUAGAGAUUUUAAAUUCAGUUGCAGAAAUGUAAAUCGACUAGUAAAUGAUAACAAAACAGUCACUCAACUUUUUAAACGAUAACAAAAUAGUCACUCAACUUUUUAAACGAUAACAAAACAAUCACUGAACUACCUACAUGAUUACUAAACAGCAUUAAUGACGAAUUAAACCAUAAUUGAAUGAUCGGAUUGAAGUCGAAAGAUUAGUUUCUCUAAAGGAGUGACAAGUAUCGGUUGAAACCUAAUUACAAAUCGGUUAUGGGUCAAAUAGGACAGUAGACAAUCAAUCUUGAGAGAUUAUAUAACUUCAAAUUUUAAUAUACAACGUAAGAUAUUCAAGUAUUUAAGUGGUUACUUUAAAUUUUUUUCCGAAGAGUAGUGAUCAGUUUAACUUGUUAAAACUUGUUAAUACAAAAUAUGUACGAUCUCAAGGGUGAUGUAGCCCUAACUGAUGAUUUUAACUAGGCAUAACCAUCUUCCCCCUUCAUUGGGAGGUUAACGGAAGAGAAACACAAUACCACACUAUUAGUUACUCCAAACUUAAGGUAUCGCCGUGUUAUAACAUGAAAGUUAAAUGACUGAUGUAUUCUCAAGAAUCAGUACUUCCACAAGGAUGGAAACAAGCUAAGUGGUUCUCGGAAUCAUAUCGUUGAACAUGCCUCCUUAAACCCGUUAGAGGAGGGCAUCGUAGACUAACUCUUUCGUGCAGCGCUCGCACGCAACUUUGUCUAGAGUUCUUCUCUCUCGAGAUAAGCCAGGAAUGCAGCGAGGCGCUUAAGGAGAACAUAAUCUGGUUUUCCCCCGGUGAUGCAAACCUCAAACCCACAACAUUUGAAUCUCAUUCCAUUGGUUUUACAGAAAGUGUUCAAGCAGCAGUAUCAAACUAAUUAAUCAUCCUGGAAGUAACAAUAUAACCCAACCAAGCACAUCAUAAAAACCAUGGAAAGAUGAGAUUGAUACCUUGUACAGCAAGUCGCCAAACAAUCACUUGUAUCUAUUGACUGCUAACUCCAGGCAUAACUUUGUUUAUUCCUCUGCAUCGUCAUGAAGGCUAAUCAGAAAGGGAUCAAAUCAUAGAAAAAGAAGUACGAAAAACAGCCACACGUGCUUAAUUUACAAACAAAACAAACAAGAAUCGAGAUGACCUGCAAUUUUUAUCAUGCAGCCGAUCAAUUGCUCCGGCUUCCCCUGCCUUUCAACCGAUUUCAUUAUGUUCUUGGCUUUUAUCCUUUCAUCUGCUUCAAAAACAGUCAACUCCAACCCCUCGAGUCCAUUCACCUCUUUCAACUGUAUGCAUCCCUUGAGAAGUAAUUCUCUCAAUUUGUUCGACCAGAUAAAUUGGUCAACUCCUCGAUCGACUCGCAACCGGUCAUGUUUAGUUCUUCCAAUGACUCUAAUCUUUCGAGGCCCCCUGACCUCAGUCAAUCAUGUGCACCUUCUGACAUCUAAUGUUUUCAGCUUUAUGAGACCAGAGAGAUCCGGUAACUUCCUAACCGACCAGCACCCCUCCAUAGACAGCCAUUCCAACGACUCCAACAUAUUGAGGCCAGUAAGGUCUAUCAGCUCUCGGCAGAAACUCAAACCUAAUUCUCUUAGAUUCUUGAGAUUGGAGGUCAGGAGAUUGUCUUCUUGACAUGUAACAUAACCAUAGUCUCGUCAGUUGGGUGAACGUGGAAAGUGAAAACGGUACUAUUUCUGUCAACUCAACUCCCGUUAAGAUCAGAGACCUCAAUUUCACCAUGGAGUAAAGUGCCUCCAAACCUGUUAAGCUGAAACACCCACGCACAUCUAGAUGUGCUAGAGAUUCCGAAAGUUGUCCCACACCAUGGAUUUCAGUAAGAACUGGACAGUCUUCAAUCCAUAGUAGCUCUAAUCUUGUCAAAGCUACUAGGCUGGGCAACCUUUCUAAGAUCGGGCAGCCUUCUACUUUCAGUGUUUGGAGAAGCACGAGAUUCUCAAGACCAUCCAAAUGAACUAUUCUAGUAGCUCUUUCUAUAACUAGAAUUUCUAGCAUUUUGAACUCUCCUAGACCAAGAAUCUCACCUAUCCCGACAUCCCUCAAGCUUAGCGACGACAGAUUAGUGAGAUUCGACAUCCUUUGUAGAUUCUCACAAGAAGUGUCUGUAAAGGAUUUCUGCGUAUCAUUGGAGAUGGAAAGGAGCGUUAAACUGGCGUGAAGCAUUUCAGUGAAGUCCGACUUGUAGGGAUCAGUUAAUGUCAGGUUCAAGCAUUCGAGAGAUGAUAGCUUGCUGAUUCCACCUGGAACUUCUUUCAAACUCGACUCACCAGCAAAAAGGUAUUUGAGAUUUAGCCUUCCGAUCUCGCCUUUAAUCUUUGUUACUAGAUUUAAUGGGGGCGCGAUGUCGUAGAUAUUUUAUUCCAGUUUGGUGUGACUUUUCUCAUUCGUAGGUUAUAUAGUGAUUGCAUAUGCCUUCAAAAAUUAAAAAUCUAGAAUCGCGUGGCUUAUGUUUCAUUUAUUUCAAUUGAUUUUGGCAUAUAAAUAGAGAAUUAAUCAACUAAGAACUAAUAACUAGGAGAACUAAUAACCAGUGGUUAAAACCACAACAUGAUCAAAUACAGUGGUGGUAUUAAAAUCAGACCCGAACUAUCAAACUUGGUGAUUUUUUACCGUAACCGUUAGUUAUCAAAAGGUUAGGUAGUGGAUAUUGCACUAACCGUCACCUCGAACAGUUGUCAAGCCUAAAGCUAACCGAUUAAACUACAAAUGAUGGCGAUGAGUUGAAUAUGAUAAUUACAGAUCCACUGUCCUAAAGACAUCCCUUAGUAGAUUUUGUAGAUUCGGGUAAUCACAUUAUACACUAUUGUAAAAUAUCAUAAUGUCAUAGAUUUUCUACUACGAUUGUGAAAUUUGAUAAUGUUGUAACUCAAAUAUAAAAUAAAAUAUUUCAGAACGGAUAGUUAUAAGAAAUAAAAUAACAUUUUAAUAAAAACUUAACCAAAUGGUUUGGUUCAACUUGAAUUUACCUAAUUUGUCCGAGUCGGAUUCAGCCGAAUACGCAUAUAGGCGGUUACAAAUGACAUCCUUAAAUAAAAUAGAUCAAAAUUGAUGUUGUUGGAUUCAUAACAUUUUAUAAUAUCAGUGAAGGAAAUAUUAUGUUUGAGACACUUUAUAAAUAAUUAUAAGCAAAAAAUUAAAUCAUAAGAGAUUAAAGAGAAAAAAAGAGAAAAAAUAAAAUCAUCUCUCCUGCCUACCCCACCAUUAGCCCACGACAUUACACUUAAACUAACGGAAUUUAGCCAACUAUAUUAUUUACCUCUAUCUCUCUUCUGCGAUAUCCCCAGCUAGUCUUCCAUUCGACAGUUUGAGAUACCUUCACCUUGUCAAUUUCUCAAAUUCUUUGUCGGUAAGCAUAAAAUCUUCACAUUUCAUAUCAAUUUCUAGAAUUUCUACGCAAUCUGUUCCCUGUGAAAGAUAAGAAUAUAUGACUAAAGUGGUCACCAAAAGUUAUAAGUAAUAUGCAAAGGAAUUGAAUAUUUUAGUAAUACCUCUUUGUGUUUCUGCAUUUCAACGGCAUCGACCAUAUCCUACUACGUUUGUAUGGAUUUUGGUUCUUUUCUUCACGUACAAUAGCUCUGCCAAUAUCACGAACGUGAUCAUGCAUCCAUAACGUAUACAACUCGCCGCCUUUUAGUAUUUCAAACAUCUUACCGUCCUAAAGGAGUUCUAAACCUCUCGCAUCUCGUGUGGUAAUGAAAAAUCGAGUAUCCAUUGAAAAGUUGUCCAAUUUCCCUAAAACCUCAUCGAAUCAGAACUUCUCAUUUACAUCAUUAAGAACAAUAAGAAGUUUGUGUCUGCAAACUCUAUCUCUGAUUAUCCGGAUUCCAUCGCUAGAAUCUUUAGCCUCAUUAAAAUCUUUCAUUAUAAUACCAGAGAUGAUGUUAUUUUGCAGAAUCGAUAUCUCAUUCUUUUCUGAUAAUGUAUCUCUGAUCUUUUUAGAAAGAAAUAACGCUCAAAUUUUAUAAAAAAAAUUUUGUCAUAAACAACCUUACUAGAGUAGUUUUACCAAGACCUCCCAUACCGUGGAUAUCAAUAAUUUUCUUACUUGCCAAUGAAUCCAGAUUCAACAAUCCCACAACUUCAUCUAUAUAAAAAUCAAUUCCCACCACCUCAUCAGUCACUAAUAUAUAAUUAGCCCUAACUCAACUAAAAUUUUGUCAAUUAUAGCUCCAUGUCUGAAAAAUGAAUACCAUUAGGUGUCAUCAACCUAAACUAAACAGCUAAUUAACCUUAAUGAUUAAUGAUUAACGCCGCAAACUCAUCUAAAAGAAGUAUGAAAAGGAAAAGUGUUAUAGUUACCCAUCCGACUCAAAGCUACAAAUGAAAAAAAGCAAGAAAAACUAGAAGCAUAGUUUUGUGUGAAGAUCGGGAUGUAAACCUUGGACUCGGUAAUAGCUUCCUAUUACUGAUUGGCCGAUGGUUUCCCCCUUCCCAAGCUCUUCCUCGUCUCUAAAUGUGCGGAAUUUGGAGCGAACAAGGCUUGUAUACAGAUGGUCAGCAAAAGAACGGCGGACAUCAGGGCCUCUAAAGCUCAAAAAAACCUCAUACUCUCCAGACGGAAGAGGGGGGAUGUCAAAUCGGCAGACGAACACGAAUGGAAAGAGUCGGUGGAGCCAUUAGAGUCGGAUCUCAUCAUUGUUAAUGUAAAUCAACAAAAGGAAGGAAAUCCCUUUCAGUUGCUAGCUUGCUGCAACACAAACAGAAGACAAACCCCCUAAACAUACCAAACGAAGCUGGAAAAACCUACAAACAAGCUAGGAGCACAGCUUAUCAUUCUGGAGAACCAAUAGAAAGUUGCAAUCCAAACGUAAACAUCACAAAUGUAAUCAGAAAAGUUCUAGCUCUAACUCAAGGGAAAUAGGAGCGUACCUGAUCGGUAUGAGGAGUUUGGCUGCAAACAGAAUCAAAUGGAAGCAGAAGAAAGUAGAGUAUUCAGAAACUAGCUCUCUCUGGCUUCCAUUUUUAUAGCAAAAAGAAGACGAAGACCUAUCUCUCUGGUUGAGUUGAGUGGUUUCUGUUAGUCGUCGGCGGCGGAGAAGUUUCUACGUCCACUCGUUUUUUUGUUUCUCGUUUCGAUAGGAAGCUGCACAAGUGGAUACAUGCAUGAAUCCAAAUUCAUUCACUUGUCUGAUCAGAAGAUUUCUAAAGUAUCUGAAGAAUCUGAAGAGCUUAUCUCAUCUAGCUAACGAAAUCAUUUCUCUGUUUCGUUACCUUAUAGACGAGGAGAGAAACUCUUGUUUGUGAUAAGACAUUAUGUGUAGUAUCGAAUAAAAACUUUUUACACCACAUAGCAAUGGAUUGGGAUGAGACUUCAUAUGGAGUGGAGGUCAUGUCAAUUGGAAAGUUCCGAUUUCCAUAAAGAUAUAAAAACGCUUCAUAUAAUUUAACGUGUCAAUAGAACACCAUCAAUCAUUUAACUAGUUAUUCGUCAUGUGAGUUACUAAUUAACUUUAGAUGAUUAUAAUUAUUUAUUAAAUCAAAUAAUUAAUUACAGAUAAUUAUAUCUAAUAAUUAAGUCGAUUAAUUAGUUAUAAAUGAUUAAAACCAAGUCAAAACCAAAGAUUUAAACACAGAUAGUUUACUCUAUGUUCCGUACAUAAAUGUACACCUUCUAACAAUUUAGUUCAUACAUUAGCAAACAACCGGUAAGUCUUGGCAUCAAGCCCGAUCUGCCUGACGGCGGCAACGGCGGAGAUCGCCCCGACGGCUGCAAACACAACGGCGAUGGUGGAGUUGAGCCAGAAAACGAGACUCCUCUUGGAAGGCUUGAAAGUGAGGUUAUAGAAAACAACGGGCAAGAUGAAAUCCAGCGGGAUGAACCCAAAGGCUCCGAUCACAGCGUUGAUGUCUCCGAAGAACGGCAGCAUCGCUGCCACGGUGGUGGCGAGGACUACCGACGCGGACCGGGACAAGACCCUCGGGACGACGUUGCGCGUCGAGAAUUGUUUGCUCUUUGGGUCGCCGAAUAGGCUUUCUAGUACUUCGUUGGUCGGCUGUAAGUAUACCUGAAAAAAUGUGAUAGGAAAAGAGAAUGGAAUUUUUUAGAGUAAUGAGACAAUAACUUUGAAUUUACUAGGGUUUAACUUUCUAAAUGUUAUGUAGUGAAAUUAAGAAAUAAAUAUGACCCAUUAGAGUGAUUUUAAAUAGUAAUUUUAAAGAUUAAUGUGUGAUACCUAACUUUAACAUUAUAAAACCUGUUUUUAAAUCCAGUGUCCUGAUUCAUUAUGGACUAGGUUAGUAACCUUCCCACUUCCACGACAUUGUGACAUGUUAUAGACAUGCACAUAACCUAUCUCAGAGCAUGUAUUUAUAUAAACAAGCUGGUUUGUGAGCUAUAUAAUUAAACUUCUAAAUCGAGUUAACUUACGAACAUAUCUAAAAGCUAACAUUACAUGAUUCAAACCUGACUCUUUGAAAUCGAAACAACUUUUAAACAAGUUUUUUAUGGAACCAAACCACGAACUGCUUGCGAGUGGUAGAUACAAAGAGCCUCUCAUGUACCAUAGCUUAGCUCACUUUAGAAUCGAGAAACUUCGACACUAUAUAAAUUUUUGUUAUAUUUAUAAAUUGAUUAGUAAUCUCAUCAGCACAUAUGAGACCGGUGUCAUAGCAGGAGUCGAGAUAAUUACGUAUUUUGGGUUUCAAACCUAAUUAAGAUAUUUGGGAAUAAAGUUAGGCGCUACAACCUAUUUGACAAGACCCAAUAUAUUUUAGACUAGUGCAUUGAACCGUCCUAAUUUCAUCGUGAUACUCACAACUAAAACGCUCAUCACCGGAGAAACAAAUAUUACUUACCACAGCGACGGCGGAGAGCUGAAGAAUGGUGAAGACAUUAGUCAUCAACACAAACCAUUCCGGCACAAGAGCCUUCCCGUCGACAACAAAGUUACUAAGCACAAGCCCGCGGGCCUCAUUCCCGAAGGCCCAAUACCCAGAGAUCGCCACGCUAAAGAACGUCGCCAAGAUGACGGCGUAACACACGCACAACCCCUUAAACAUCUUCCCCUUCACCGGCGGCGCCACCGUGGCCUGGAUCUCAGGGAUGAUCCCAUUGCCGUAGGUGGUGGCGAUGAUGGCGACGGCGUUGAAUACUCCGAAUAGUCGGUCUUGGGUGUUGUCUCCGGGGAGGGAAUGGGAGGCGGGGGAGGACUGGCGGCGGCCAAUGUGGACGGAGGCGGCUGUGGCGCAUGCGCUGUAGGCCAGAGUGAGGAGUAAGGAGAUGAGAUUGAUGUGGCGGAGGGAGUGGAAAGAUGGGAUUUGGGCUAGCGUGAGCAUGAAGGUACCGAAGAUUGUUAUGAAUAGGUAGAGCUUUAGUGUGCCAUGAGGAUUUGACAAUAGGUAGAUUGCCUGUAGAAAACAUAAAGUUCAUAUUAGUUUAGUCCGAUCAGUUCGAUAGUGAAUCAAUUCUGAUAUAAUCAGUAAUAAUCGAUUAUACGAUAAAAUUAUUUAAAUGAUCGAAUUAUAUAUUGUUAGACAUAUCAGUUAGACGUCGUACAAUGAUUGAAAUAUUGGGAUUAAUAAAAAAAUUUCUAAUGAUGAUUGGUGAGGUUUUAUAUUUAAAUUAGAUUUGAUGGUCAUGCAAUAUGUUGCGAAAAUUUUAUACAAAUUUAGUUUGACUCUAUUCACUCUUAUAUUAUAUGGUGAUUAUGAUAUAAAGGUUUUAAUGAACAAAUCUAAUCUUAUAAUUUAUUCUAUUUAUCUCAAUUGAUUCUAACAUAUGAAUAGAGAAUUAUCAUUUAACAACUAAUAGGAGGAAAGAAAAAUGCCGCAAAAACUAAUAGGAGGAAAGAGUAACUACAGCAUAAGAAAUGAAUAAAUGAGCUGGUAAUGGAUCAAGUCAUCCGGCGAAGUGUUAUUUUGACUGUAUAUGUAAAAUAAUUAAAGUUGGCUGACCUUCAUGCAUUGGCCUCCAAGAAGUAUGCAAGCUACAACGGCGCCGUAGCAAACCAUGAACUGAAUUGGGCCGACAAAAUAACGGCCCCAUCCAGGACCUGUAAAUAUCCAAAUGACAAAUUUAGGCAAAUCCUGAAAUUGGCCGAAUGUGGGCUGAAUGACCAUUUGGCCCACAAAGAAACCACAGUCCAAUACUAACUAAGAUGUAAUCAUUGUUGCUGUCACCAUUAAUUAAUUAUUAAUUAUGGAUGUCAUCAUCAGCCAACUACUCAUUACAUGGAUUCCAUAAGAGCUAAGACCAUAACCAUUUGAAUGGUCAACAUUGUACAACUAUAUAUCAUUGUUAUUGAUGUGUAUAAAUAAAUGCUUCCUUAGCUACAUACUUGUAACUUUAUUAUCUAAAUAUCUCCAUCCCCAAAUUUUAAUAAUUGUUAAAUUUUUAAUUUUAAAUUUUUAAGACUAAAAUUAUAUAUUACGAUCAUUUAAUUAUAACCCGCUGAAAUUCUCUCAUGAAUCAUUUAUCAAACCAUAUUGUUUCCCCACCUCAUCAUAUCCAAGAUGACAAUGACUACUUUCACAUCCAGGGUAGGUGUUGACCAUAAGUAAAGAUGAACUAAACCCUAUAAGUAAAUAAAAUCAAAUUUCAACCAAGUUCAAAUUAAAUUAAUCAAAGCCUUUAUAUGAGAAUGGUGAUGCCAUCAUACUGAUCGAUGAUUGUGCAUUCAAAAUUUCGAAUUCAGAAUUUCUGAAAAUAAAAUUAAGAGUUAUAAUUACACAACAUAUUUAGCAACUAAAUAUUAGAAUUAUUCACGACUCGAACUGAAUUAUGUCCAAACAAGUUUUUUUUUUCAAACCAAACGUAAACCACUACGGUUCUGCAACCGCCCAGCAAAAUACUUUAUUUCUUUUACAGUAUUAAUUAAGUUGCAUAAUUAUUUAUAUAGCAAGGUCGAACCAAUAACACACAAAAAAAAGUUAUUAUUGUUAUUGAUAUAAACUAAUCGAACGCCACUUACCAAGGAUCCGGUUGGCCAUGUCACGGAACCGGAACAUGCGGUUCCCGAGCUGAGCAUGGUGCUCAAGAACCAAGGAGAGCAAGUUGUAGGAGUAGAAAGUGACCGCGGCCGCUACCACUAGACACGCCACUCCGCCGCCCCAGCCGAGCAGUGUGAAGGCGAACGGCAGGCUGAGCAGCGGCGGCGCUACUAUCGACGUCGUCAAGUGGUACCCACAGUGCACCCACGACCCUGUAAAAAAAAUAUUAAUAAAUAAUUAUUUGAUAGUUGAUUAGUCGCCACGUCAAUUAAUGCAUGAUUUUAGGUGGGUGAAUUGAUAUGUUGGAUAGACACAUUGAGUGACACAAUCGGUUUUUUAUAAUAGACAAAAAAUUUGUUUGAAUUGCCUGAGUUUCGAAUGUGAUUGGUACGUGCUUAAUUGCGUACACAUUGUUAAGUAAGUGAUUAGUUUAUGUUUGUUUUUAACAGUCGUGAAAAAAUGAUAUGAAAAUAUUAAAAUAGGCUAGUCAAAAUAGACUAAUUAUGUUUUAAAAUCUUUGGAUUAUGUUUUGAGUGCUAUCUUAUUUGGUUUGGUUUAGUGUUUCCAAUUAUCUUAGAUUCGAAGAUGGAUGGACAAAAUAGUUGUUAGUGAAUGAUUUGGGUUAAAGAUGACUCAAGUUUCGGUGGAUAAUAUUUCGAUCAUUUGAUCAAAUAGUUAACCAAAAUUGAGUAACCAAAAUGUUACAAACCCCAACCUCGAGUGACCAGCAAUACUUUUAACUCAUAAAAAUCAAUCUAAACGGGGUUUUCCCAACAAAUUGAAUUAUUGGGAGUUGGAAUGCAACGAUUUAUAUUUGAAUGCAAUGUUUCAUGACAUAGUACUAAAUUUCAAGGCCGAGUAUGUAGUAUAUAUUUCGAAUCCAAAUAGUUUUCAAUCCUUUCCACAAAAUACCGAAAAUAUGCAAACCUCAACUAGUUUGAACACUUUCCUUAUAGCAAACGUACUAAUGAAUCAUAUCAAAACCAUUAUGAAGCCAUCCAAACAACUCAAGUUAUAUUCAAUGGUUGCAAGUUCAUGUCGAAAAUCAAAUUGGAUAUGUUGGUGGUAGGAGGUUGAGUAGUUCAAACUACCUGAUUUAAAUAUAGAAUGAAACAAGUAGCAUCUCUUUUUCUAGUCCGAUCCGGUUUGACCAACGAUUCAUGAUCUUUCCGAUGCAAUUCUUAAUUAAUCACCAAUACUCUAGCUGUCGUAUAAUCCAAUUAAACAAAAAAAAGAAAGAUUCUUUAGUAAAAUAAAAAAGAUGACGUCGAUGAUAGACGGUGAAGUCUUCUUACCUUUGGAUUUGAGAACAAAAAGAGCUCCGGCGUCCAGAUCCGGCGCCUUCUCCUGCUGCAAAUUAAACCGGCCACCACCACCGUCGUUGGCUGCUGCUGCGGUCCCCAUAGCUCUCCUUGUUUAGAAACGAGUGAGAGAAGACAAAAAUGAGGAAUGGUCUAGUGAGAACACUUCCCCUCGUGUUUUAAAUGCAAAAUCGCCAUCAUAUCAGGCGGCUAUAAUAGCUGUAACUUUCAGUAAGAAACUAAUGGGCCGUUGACUAAGGUGACUUGUGUUAUUAGGCUGGGCUCACGAGCCAUAUUCAGUAUUGGGCCUCGACAUAAAGCCCAUUCAAUUUGAGUUUUUCAAUGUCCAAAAGUGUAGUGUGGCGAAUCAAGCCAGUAACUUUGCAUUUCCGUAGGCAAAAUAUUUGUUCGGAAUUAGGUUCCGGAACUGAUGAGUUGGCUUGCGAGUCGUCUUGUGAGCUCGAUCGGCCAGGCACACGAGCUAGUUCGGCUCAUGAUCUCAAUUAAACAAUACCCAAUCAUCGUAUGAUUUCUUUGUUAACACUUUCAUUGCUAUCGAUAUAACGUAUGUCAUCAAAGUCUCACACACAAAUAUGUGAAACAACAGUUCCCUAUGAUUGAGACCUCUAAAGAAUGUGUCAAAACACAUAACCUGAAUGGAGGGUGUACGGGGUGGUUGGUAUGUUUGCGAUUCGGAAGUGUCUAGUUCAAUUUCAGCACGUACACCCCACAAACGUACACUAACGUAAUAAUAUUUAUUUUCUAUCUAUCUUACUAUUUACCGAGAAAUUUAGUCCGAAAAGAAAAAUUAUCCUUUUUAGAUCUGAAAAUAUUGAAAAUUGAAAAAGAAAUCAUUUUAAUUUCCAUUAUGUUUUAGGAGACGGUUUCCAAACCCUACACAAUAUACAGAGUUUAGAGAUGUGGAGUCUUGAGAACGUCUUGUUAAUUGGUUUCUGAAAACCCUAGAAAGAUUGAACGUUGAUUUUAUUAACUGAUCGUCAUAAGAUGGGCUACGCUUACCUUCUAGAGGAGAUAGCAGAGAAGAUUUCCUAGGAGGACGUGGCGAGCUUUUGUCAACUGGUUGCCUUCUCCGGAGUUUUCAGAUCCUAGAGGUCCAUUGCGAAAGCGCAGUACUACACUAAUCUCUGUUGCUUUUCAGAUAUUCUCGUAUCCAAAACAUCCUUCCCCGAAGAACACUCCCACGAAAAACACGAACGUAACUUAGACAGUUGCCGUACCGCUGGUCGUUGUACUCGCAAUAAUCGUACUAAUUCACGUGGCCCACACCAUCAAUUCCACCUUCUCUCCACAAUUUACAAUGUGACAUCCGAUCCUCGAAUCAUGUGGUCCCCGCACGAAUCCAUAACGGCAAGAAAGAUGAUGUUGCAGGGGACCGCAUGAGCCGGUUGUUGACCUAAAAAACUGCCACUGCAUAGCUUCCAAAGACGGGUGGUUGGUCCUUGUAGCUAAGCGUUACUUCCCUAUUAGAAUUUACUUGUUGAAUCCUGUCAUCAGCGCCUCCAUCCGGCUCGCUCCUAUCCGACAUCACUGAUACACCAACUGAUAUAGAGACUGCAGCAUUAGGUUCCACCACGUCAUCCUCUCAUCUUCCCUUGACGAUCACGAAUUCCAUCAAUUGUUUUGUCCGACGUUAUUAGUACCCCGAAUGUGGCAUGGUGCAACGUGCGUAUCGGUGGCGGUUGUUAUUGGAAAUUCAGUAUUGAACGCGAGUCUUUCAACCACAUAAAAUUCGCCUGCUACAUUGAAGGGAAACUAUAUGUCGCGGGGUUGGACUCUGUCCACAUCAUUGAUAACCUCGUUAAUGUAGCAGACAACGUGGUGGAUCCUACGAUGAGGUCGUUUCCCUUCUCUUUUGCUAUGAUUCCUAAUGUAACGGAACUCUGAUCUUUCUCCUCCGUCGUCAUCUCGAAGGAGGAGGAAAUCCGAUCACGUUCCACCUGUAUUGAAGAAGAAGAAGACCCUUAUAAUGAUUACCGGAAAGAAGUUUAAAAUUUGGAUGGACAUGUUGUGUUCCUUGGGAUCCAUAAAAAAUAACGCAAUAAUGAUCAGGGGCGACCACAUUUAUUAUUUGGACACAUGUAUCUCUGUAAUAACUAUUCAUUGAUUGAAAAAAUAAUACCAAAAAUACACUUAGUUUGUUAUAAUAUCAGAGCGGUAUACGCGUUUCUUCUUCGUUUCUUGAUCUUCUUUCUACUGUCCGAUGGUGGCCAACACCAGAUCCGGCGCACCUUCAGUAGCUCCUCUUCCGGUCAUGGACGUUUCGCAUCCCUUCUUUAUCGCCGCCAAUGAUCAUCCUAGAGUUCUUCUUAUAGUUGAUCGUCUUCUCGGUCCAGAGAAUUAUCAUACCUGGACUCGCUCGCUCGGGAUGGCCUUGUUGUCUAAAACCAAAGUCGGUUUUGUGGAUGGGAGCAUCCAUGUGCCAAAGCUGGAUGAUCCUCUUUAUUCGGCUUAAAAAAGGGCGAAUGUACUGGUGUUAGGAUGGAUCCAUCGCGCGAUCACACCAGAGAUUGCUCAGAGAGUGAUCUGGUUGGAUUCUUUGCUAGAGGUGUGGCAAGAUCUGAGUGCGCAUUUUGGAAGAACUGAUGUGAUUCGAGUUGCUGAUCUGCAUGAUCAGAUUGCUUUUUUUUUGUCAGGGAGUUCUUUCUGUUUCAGCGUACUAUACACGUUUAAAGUACUCUGGGAUGAGUACGUUGCGAUGCGCCCCUUGCCUCUCUGCACCUGUACACCAAAGUGUUCAUGCGAUGUUUUCAAUAAGCUCCGGAACUUCCUGCUUGCGGAACAGAUGAUUCGUUUCUUAAGAGGAUUGAACACGGCUUUUGGAGCGGUCCGUUCACAGAUUCUAGGCACCGCUCCUCUUCCUUCGAUUAAUCAAGCUUUCUCUCUAGUCAUUCAAGAAGAAGGUGAACUCGCACUGGCUGGGAAUCUCAUCGGAACUGAACCUGCUCUUCUUGGUGCACCACCGCUUUCACAGCCGAUGGCCUUUUCUGCUCGACCUUCUGGCACUCGUUCCACUGGCUCAAACCGCUCCUUGUGUACCUUCUGUGGUAUCUUGAGUCACACGAUUGAAAAGUGUUACCAAAAACACGGCUAUCCUAACGGCUACAAACCCAAGGCCAAAACCCGUCCAUCCCCUUCCCUCAAUAAUGUUCACGGUUCGCUCGAGUUUGUCGUUGCUCUUGUCUCUCCUCUGGACUCUGUUCCUGAUAGUAUCACCAUGACUGGUGCUCAAUACCGCAGCCUCUGCUCCCUCCUCCGAGAUCAGUCGUCCCUGCCUCCCCCGCCAGGUUAGACAGAUCAAUUUUGUCAGCUCCUCUUUUAGGCCCUUUGCACCGAUUUUGACUGACGGUGCUUCUUCUGCCUCGGUCAUGCCUUCAGCGGAAACUCCAAGCAUGCUCUAUCGGUUACCUCGGUUUCUUCUGUUUCAUAUUACCGAUGGAUUGUUGAUAGUGGGGCUACCCAUCAUGUUACCAAUAAUUUGUCUCUAUUAAGUACUAGUCACUCUGUUGCUGAUUCCUUGGUUACCUUACCUACUAAGCAAACUGCCAUUGUUACUCAUACGGGUGUAGUUCAUUUGGCCUCUGGUCUCGUCCUGCAUGAUGUCCUUGUUAUCCCUAGCUUUCAGUUCAAUCUCCUGUCUGUUAGCAAGUUGUUAGGAACUAAUUGCGUUGAUAUCUGCUUUACUGCUUAUUGUUGUGUGUUUCAGGAUCCGUCCACUUUGCAGACAAUUGGUAUAGAUGAAUGUGUUGCUGGUCUCUAUGUGCUGCCUCAUUCUCCUAUCAUUCCUGUUAUCACUGAUUCGCAUGACCCUGUUGUUCACAAUGUUAAUUCUUGCCAUUCCAUUCCUUUGGCAUUAUGGCAUAAUCAUUUAGGGCAUGCUUCCUUUCUUGUCAUGAAACAAGCCAUUGACUGUAUUAAAACAUUUGAUUCUCCUUGUUUUGUUUGUCCUUUGGCUAAACUAAAGUGGCUUCCUUUUCCUUUAAGUGCUUCUGUUUCUACUUCUUACUUUGAUCUUUUACACAUUGAUAUUUAGGGAUUUAUUGCCACUCCUACCCUUGAUGGUCACCGUUACUUUCUCAUGAUUGUGGAUGAUUGUUCACGGAUGACAUGGAUUUUCCUGCUUAAUAAAAAAUCUGAGGUCCGGUCCAUCAUUCAUAAUUUCUAUAGUCAUGUUCUGACUCAAUUUGGGGUCAACAUCAAAACUGUUUGCACUGAUAACGGUAAAAUGUUCCUUAUGCCUGACUUUUACGAUAAGAAUGGCAUCGUGCAUCAAACCAUGCGUGUAUAUUCCUCGCAGCAAAAUGCUCAAGUAGAGAGGAAGCAUCAUCACAUUUUAGUUAUUACUAGAGCUCUUUUGUUUCAAUCUCCCUUCCCACACAGUUUUGGGGUUUGGCUGCUUUCCACACAGUACUAGUUUAUAGUGGCCGUGCGAUGCUGCGAAAUCUUAAUUUGGAAUUUGUAGGGCAUUGCUCACUCGUAGGUAAAACAAUAAAUAGCUAUAUAGUUAAGAAAAUAAAGCUGAAUGAUAUACUAAAUGGAUCUGCAACCAUAUAUUAAGUUCAUUCAAAACAGAAUUCCAUGACCUUUGAUCAAUUAGUUGGGGGUAGUAUUUUUAAUUGGGUUCAAGAUUUCGCUUAUACCUCAAUCGAAAACGACAAAGAUACUUCAGAUACCGUAACAAAACUCCAUGACCUUUCAUCAAUUAGUAAUGAUAGUUGGUACUUGGUAGCAGCAACAUUCGCAUUGGGGGGACAUCUGGUCUUUGAUCAAUGUCUAUGAAAGAGACCUCAUUAUAUGACAACUUAAUUACUUAGCAAAUAAAUAAUAAAAAUCAAGGGGUGUCUUUGUACAAGUGAAAAUAGAAGGAUGUUAGCUCAUCCUCAUUAGAACCGCUCUCAAACUCAAAGCUAUCAGCUAGCCUUUAUUGGCUCCUGCAGAAAGCACAUAAAUAUUUGUACAAUUCCUUCAGUCAAAACACAGGAAAAUAGCAAGCAUACAUCUAACUAAGCCAUUACAUAAAGAAUUAAGAAUAUGACUUAUUCUUCUACUUCCCUUCUUGAUUAUUCUCCACUCCCCAGAUCCAAAACUGAUUCCCUGCUUAUAACAUGUCUGAGAAGUUUUGCUUCCUUCAUGAGCUAAUAUUUUCCUAACUAAAAGCAAGCUUCUCAGAAGGUGCACCUAUUUUCAAGGGAAUGUACCUGCAGCUGUCAAAUCUUAACUCAACAAAGACUUGCAUGAACAACCUACCACAAUACAUAAAUAUAAAUUUACUAUCAGAAGUAUAGUUAGUUGUCAUCUAACACUCGUUCAUAGUCAUUAAAGCAAGGAUGUUCAGCGUUAAAUUGUUCAAAACUUCUGAACUCAAGGGUAUCAACUGUAUAACCAAUUGAAACAGCUGACACCAACACUUUAGGCCAAACAAUUCAUCACCAGUUGAAACAGCAGGCAUCAACAUUUUAGGCCAAACAAUUCCAGUUUUGCUUUCUUCUAUACUUGCUAGGCUAAUGGUGAUCUAUUUAUAUAUAACAAACCGACUCAGUAAUAAUCAGGCCAUCUUUCUAUGUUUCCACCACGAUCGAUUAUAUCGAUCACUUAGAAUAUGUUUGCUGGAAUAUGCAGCAGACUCAUGUUUUUGCCGGUUCAUCCCAACAGGCCUGGCGAACUGAUACAUGGAUUAACACAAGUUCUGUUAAUGGAAAGAAAUAAAAUCUGACUUUACUAUUUAGGUUCCUAAACAUGUUUGAGGAGAGGCCCUUUUAUGAUGGAGGAAUUGAUUCAACAGAACAUGCUAAUGAUCCCUUAUCAGAAGAGAAGUCAUCAACAUUGUUCAUGCAUUUGCAGGUGUGAUUUGUAAUCAAUUAUCUCUUAGCAUCAUGUCUUUAGUGACUUAGUACACAUGGAACAAUAUGUAAAAUGUGAACUUGUGUACUGACCUGGGUAUGAUGCGGUCAAGAACUACCCCAUUGAUGAUGGGAACGCUAGUUGUUGCGAGUGUUUUCUUUGUAACACCACAUUGAAAAUGAUGAAUUUCAGCUUCCUCUUGUUGAUUUCCACCCAAACGUGUCCCUUACAAGCCUCUGUCGCUGCCGAUUUUCACCAAAAUCCCAGCUUCCUCUUGUCGUAUCCCGAGAAAAGAAUAUUGUAAGGAAUUGAUAACUUCUAUUUCUCUAGGGUUUAGGGAAUCGAUAUCCAAUUCCUUCCUUUUCAACACCUCCCCUGCUAUCAAGCAAGAAGAACAACUAGUGUCAAUAUCCCAGCUCAUUUCCACCAAAACGUGUCCCUCACCAGUUCACCUCCGCUUCCGUCAAAGCAUCCGCUGUCGUUGGCCGCUGCUCAAAACCUCCCUUGCUUACAGAAAAGAGUGGGUAUGCGUUGUUGUCGAUGGAGUUAGGUAUGAGAUAAUGAAGCAUGAACAAAAUAAAUCCUCAUUAAGUGGGAUGAAUUUUUCAGAGAGAUGAUGAUGCGGAUACCACCACUGAUACGGUGAGAGAAGAAUAAUCCCAAACUUUCGCUUCAUUCUUUCUUUGCAUCUAUUUUCUGUGUGGCAGAAAAAAGAGAGAGAGACUGACAGGAAAAGGAAACCAGUAAAAAAAAUUAUGAUU
rnacentral:lncRNA from 1 species